AGCUUGGAAGGUAGGGUAGGUAUUUCUAGCCAGUUGCAACCUGAGUUCAUAGUAAAGACCUUUCAUGAAGAGACGCUGCUUAUCAGCAUCUUCUCUAACUACAUUUGGAGCAUAGCGAGCUAACUGCUCAAACAUGUCAUGAUACUCAGCCACAGUCAUAGAACCCAUCCUGAGAGACCUGAAUUCUUCCUGCUUGAGCUCCAUCAUUCCUUCAUUGAUAUGUCAUGCUCUAAAGUCUCUGCAAAAUUCUAUCCAAGUGACAGGAGGAGCAUUGUUGGGGCGAGCAGCUUGAUAUGACUCCCACCAAGUCUGAGCUACUCCCUGAAGUUGUCCAGAAGCAUACAACACCUUUUCCAUAUCAUUGCAUUGUGCUAUGUUCAGUUGCCUCUCCACAGCACAUAGCCAAUCAUCCACCUCCAUAGGAUCAGCUGAGUACGUAAACACUGGAGGUCUUCCCUUCAUAAAUUCACCACGCUUAUCUCUCACAUGAACUGGUGGUGGUGGUGGUGGUGGUGGAGGUUGAUGCUGUAGGUGCUGCAUGAAGACAUGCAUCAUCUCAUUCUGGGUUUGCAUGAGCUCUUCCACAGUAAUUGGAUCAUUGGCACCAUUGCCACGGCCUCUGCCUCUGCCUCUUCCUCUUUCUGCCAUCUGCAUUCUGAGGUAUAUAAACAUAUCUCAGUAAUAUCCAACAUGAUAAAUACAAGAGAUCGUUGAAUCUGAAUUUUUCUGUGCGACAUCCAACAUUAGCAGUUUAGAAAGUCCGUCAUAUCUCAAAUUCCAGCAUUCAAAAGGAUACAUUCUGCACACCGUUGGAAAGAUAAAGAAAUUAUCCAUAACUUUCAUUUAGAUCAUUUUAACAGAUUCUGUGGUUAAAUUAGUCAAAACCGAGCAUAACCAAAACUGUUCCAGAAUUCCAGACUGCGCAGAAACCUAAACUUUGAACAGCCAUAACUCACAGCUCAUAACAGAUAAUAAUGUCAUUCUUGUGGCAUUGGAAAGACAUGAAAGCCUACUUGUUCCCAGAAAAAUUUGAUGAACAUUGCACGAACAUAUUUUGAAUUACACCAGAUUGAUUGCAGACCGCUCCAGAAAACAGCAAAGGACAGAAACAGGAUUUUAACCAAACCCAACUAUUUAGUUCAUCAAUCCUUAUGCCUUAGGCCUAUAGACUAAAUGAAAUUGUAGAGAAAAUCCACAAGAUCAUUACACUCAUUACAAAGAUCCAAAUCAAGCAUAAGCAUAAUAACAAACCAAACCAAGCAUCAAAGGUUCACACUUCAAGCAUUAACUCAACUUGCGGUACUAUCGUUCUCUUCCUAUUAAGGGUAAAGAUCCUAUAACUCCUAUUUCAAAGACGCCAGAAAGUGGUAAGAAGAGGUUCUAAAAGCAUAUCAAGCAAGGAGUGGGGGUAAGAACAAGUCUUUAAAAUAAGCAUCAAGGUGAAGAUGAAUAGCAAUGAAAAGGAUAUAGUAUGGAGAAAAAUAUCAAGGUUUAUAGAAUAAGGACUUUAUAGCAAUUUCAAAAACCUUAAAACGGCCAAUUUCUAACUAGGCUUGCGUCCGACAGUCAACAAAGCUUUGAUACCACUUUGUCACACCCAUAUUUUAAGAACAAAAUAGGAUGCAUAAAAGACUCAUAUGUGCCCCAGAAACAGUCGCACACAUAAGUAGACAAAUCUCAAAUGUACCAUUGCAGUGUUUAUUACAUAGCGGAACAAUAAUAAAUCACAUAGUCUCAUACAAAGAUGAUAGCAUGAAGUAAACAACGCUCUCGACGGAAGCUCCACACAGGGACACUGCUGACUGGUUGACUCCAAGCCUAAUACUCAUAACGGUAGUCCUCAAUCCAAUCACCAUCAUUUGCAUAACCUGAGGUGUUGGGAAAUUGCAAGAGUGAGCACAUAUCGUACUCAACAAGUAUAACCAGGGGUUCAUGAGGCUCAAAUAGCUGACACUGGUUUGACUACAUUUAGCUUUUAAUGGUGGGUGGCAUGUUCAUAAAUUAAAUAGCAAAUGUCAAGGUAGCAUAAAUAAUCCAUUAAUCACAUGAUCAAGUGUAAGCAUAAUUAAUUCACAGCAUAAACGAUAAUCAAAUGAACAUAACAACUUAACAAGCUCAUCGUCGUCGCAGCAAGAACCCCCAAGGCCGCUCUUAACCGUGAGCAUGGCUAGUAUACUAGUUUUAACACUCUGCAGAGGUUGUACAUCUUUACCCACGAGUCAUGAUUUACCCUUUCGCCCGAGGUGAUCAGCCUCUUAACCCACUUCCAAGAAAGGUCGGCAGGGAUCACUAUGGAGCCUUUCAAAAGUUCGUCUAACCUGUUAGGGCCGCAAGGUUUCCUUUGCGCGCAAAGGAAACCUUGCAGCCCUAACAUGUUAGACGAACUUUUGAAAGGCUCCAUAGUGAUCCCUGCCGACCUUCCUUGGUAGUGGGUUAAGAGGCUGAUCACCUCGGGCGAAAGCGUAAAUCAUGACUCGUGGGUAAAGAUGUACAACCUCUGCAGAGUGUUAAAAACUGGUAUACUAGCCGUGCUCAUGGUUAAGAGCGGCCUUGGGGAUUCUUGCAUCAACGGUGAUGAUUCUUGUGUGUUAAAUAUGCCCAUUAUUUAUUAUUUAAUGCUCUACAUUAUUUAUGUCACAUUGAUCAUGAGAUUGUGGGAGCUAUAGAAUCUAGUUGCUAUACUUGUUGAGUUCGACAUGGACUCACUCUUGCUAUUUCACCCACACCCUUCAGGAAAAGUUUUGGGCUUGUGAUCAACCAGUCAGUUGGAUCCUGUGGAGAGAAGUUAAUACCCGAAGUUUAGAGUUGUCUAUCCGCUGUUUGAUGCUAAAGGUUAUCUCUUUUUAAACUAAGUACGUUAUAUAUUUGUGCAUUAUCUUUUGAUAUUACACCUUAUUUGUAGCUAUAUGUGAGAUUUGGCUUUUAAAACUCACAUAUGGUGUAUAUCUGAUUUUGUUCUUCAAAUCGGGUAUUACAACCAUAUAGAUUCUCAUUGCCACACAAUAGAUGAAUUGGAACCACUUAUAUAGAAGCAAAGUGUGCUCAGGACAAAAACAGAUCAGCCAAGAAGGAGAACAUGGGUGAUGAAUCUACAAUCGAGAAUAGAGAUGACAACUUGGACCCAAUCCCCAAUUCUCCUGGGGAACUCCCCUAUUAGGGAUGAGGAUUGGAAGGGUUUUGUCCCCCAUAGGGAAGGAAAUAGGGGUAAAUUCCAUCCUUGUCAAUUUUGGUGGGGUGGGGAUAGUUCUCUAUUCCCCAUCCUUGUUUUGCUACAUUCUCAUUUACAGUCCACCAACUCUUGGUCUAGUACAACCCACUGACUCAAAUAUAUCUAGCGUUGUCCCUAAUCCCUAAAGGACCAAUGACCCAAUACCACCCAUCCACCCCACAUCGCUACUUUCUUGAUUGAGUAGUGCAUGAUGGAAGAAGGUGACGAACCCAUCACAACCAUGGCUAGAAAAGAAGAGGACAUGUCCAUCCAUGUCAUGCAAGGAAGAAUAGGGUAGAUCCAUCUCCGGUGGUGCUUUAGGGAGAAGCACAAACCAUCACUCCGCCACUAGUAACACAAGAAAAGGGAGGGCACCUUGGCUUCUUAGAGAUUGUAAUACUGAGAUGCAUCACCAGGUGCAUCGUACUGAUGUAGACAUGUAGUCCCUGAACUUACUGGAAGACGAAGUAUAAGCCCUGUAGCAAGGUCUUAAAAAUAAAAAACACCUCUUAGUUUUAUAUGAGUCCAAUUCAUAUAUAACCGAGGAGAGCAGUCCCCGAGCACAACAGAGAGUGGUCGACGAGUCCCUAAGUGUGGUUGGGAACGUAAACGUAUUCGGUGGUCGGAGAAGUCCCCGAGUAUGCACAAGUAGUGGUCGAGAGAAUCUCCGAACACCGAACAUACGCGGUUCCAAUGAAGCUUGAGUUCUUGUUGUCUUCGAUCAACAGGAACAUUACCUGAGCAGUUGUGGCAAUAUUCUGACCAGUUCGGGUGUUAGCCAAGAUCCUGAAAAAUAAAUAUCGAGAAUAGGUAGUAUAUGAUGUACAGAUAAACUCUGAAGAAAAAUCAGCACUUGUAUAAUAUGCGAUCGUAACUUUAACAAAAAACAUUGUUUUUAACUUUUUUGUUCUACUAAAGUUAGCAUGAGUAGUUAAUUCAUUCUAGAGUUUCACAGGCUCUGGAGCGUGAGGCGCGGAGCUCAGACACACAUAGGAUUGCCAGCUUCGCUAGAGAGCUACUAUCGACCACCCGGAACAUAGAGGGCGGAUCUCGUGUAUGUGUCGGGAAGAGUCAGAGACAGUGCCGGCUCUGGAAAUAAAAAAUUAUUUAAAGAAUAAUCUUGUCGAGGACAUUAUGGAGAAACAACAUGCCGAAAAUUGUAUCAAAUACAAAUAGUUGAAGUGUACUUAUCUUUAGAUAUUGCUGGAGUGGUCGGAGCUGUAGCCAGCGUGGUCGGAGUCGUAGCCGAUGUUGGUGAAGAAGUGAUUGAUGCAGAUUGGACUAUGCCUCUUCGAUGGUCAUGACAGUGAAGCCACUGAGCCUGUGGUCCAGAUGAUCUGGCCAACGGUGAACAUGUGGCCGUCCGCCACAGCCACAAAGUUGGGUAUGACGACCAUUUGGUUCGUCUGGGAAGCUGUACGCACCCCCUACCUGGCGCGCCAUUGUCGACGAAAUAUGGUCGACAGUCUACCUAGGGUAUGCCCAAGGUAGUAGAUUGUUGGCAGACAGGUGCACAAGCUAUGGACUAGAUGAUGACGCAAGACAAACAUAAAUAUUUAAUUAUCUAGGUUCGUCCGUUUUGAGAGUGUAAUACCUACAUCCUACGUCGGAAUGUAUUAUUCUAUAUGAUGAGAGAUAUAUGACUUGUCCUCUAGGGGACCCCCGCACCUUCUUAUAUACUGUGAAGGGACAGUUAUAAGUAAAGUAUUCUAUUUGGUAUAAUAUCUUCUUGUAGCAUUGCGGUGCACGUCGACCAGCAUCGUGCGCUGUAUAUCUUCAUCUUGUGAGAUAGGCCACCUCCGAUGGUGCGUGACCCAUAUCAAGCCAUGAGGGUAGAAGAAUUUAUACACCACACGUAUACUCUUGCUUUUAGUUAACGAUCCAUGAUGUUGUCACAGUUUCUGUACGGUUUACCAAGAUUAAAAAAACAACGGUUGAAUAUAUUUUUUUCCCUUUUAUUUUUUGUUUUGACUUUCUAGGUUAAAAAUAUUUUUCUUUCUUUGCAGAGAUAACCAUGCAUUUGUUUAGAGAUUUUGUUCUGGAAGUCUAUUAAAUUCAUAUAUGCAUGAAGAACAAUAUGCGAGUUAACAAAUUAUGAUGUAUAUAAUAACAUAACACUCGUAGCAUACGAGAUGUCCUUUUUUUGAGAGGUAUGACAUGUUCAACACCAAUAUAUAAUUACGUCCUAGCGUAUUAUGCAAAUACAUAUAGCUAAGAAAGUCCGUUAAACAAGGCAUCAUUUAUUGCAUAAAAACAUUAUUUCCAUAUAUUUGAUGGAAUAUUUUACCAGCUAAUAUAACAAAUUAAAGAGAAUAAGACAAAAAAUCUGAUUAGAGAAUAAGGCAAAAAUUGUAUGCUGGCAAUAAUGCAAGUUCUUGUUCAUAAAUAAGUGGCAAAUUAUGCAUGGUCAAAAGUGCAUGUAUGGUCCACAAAUUGCUACAAGAGUUAACUGAUUCGGUGCAUACACUUGCCAACGCACCAGCAGGCCCCUGAGAAAUCACUAUCUAUCAAUCAUAGCAACCGAACUCGGGCCGUCCAAAUUGGCAACCAAUUGCCAGGUUUCGGUGUCGUAUGAGAAGUGCCUUACAUCCAGGCUUUAGCUAGCCGACGACAUCACAUAUUGAUCGCCCAUUUCACAUUAGGUCAUCCAUUUAACUAAUUUUAGCAUUAAGCAUGUGUACAGCAUCACUUAGUUUUAUUCCCUUUUAUUUUUAUAAGUAAUUUUGUGGGAUGCUGCUAACCGUCGGAGGUGGGCCUCUUGUGUUCUGCUCACUAUAUAGUCCGCGUGCUUUCUAGCGGAUGAUUGAAAUACGUCAUCUAUGAGAAUUAUUCCAUUCCUAGUGACAAUAUGGUGGUCAUUGUCUCCCGUCUCUGGCUUGUGGCUUAUGCAGUGACGAUUACAGUAAGAACUCCUCCUUUGUGUUUAAUAUAUAAUUUUAACUGAGGAAUUUGGCAACUGCAAUGUUUGUUACAGUAAUUACACUUCCGAGUCAAUUUGUAGAUAUUUGUCCAAUGGGUAGAGAGGGAGGGGGAGGGAGUGAAUUAGACUUUCUAGAAACUACUUGGCCUCUAAUUUUAACUUAUCAAAACCUAUGUAACAUAUCUAACUAUGGUUUUGAUAAGUGUUGCUAUCUAUAGCGUGUACGCAAUGUAGUUUCCAAUCCUAUUAACUAGUCUAGCAAGCCAAACUAAAAAGAUAAGCAUUAAACCUAGGAAAGCAAGUAAAUGCAUAAGCUUAAACGAGCUAUAGAAUGCAAACUCCCGGUCGAUUUUUCAUGAGGUAUCAAGAAGCUCACGCUUCUCCUUACUCCUUAUUAGAGCCCCUCGCAAGAAUACCCUUGCAAGCGCCAAGCUCCCAGUUAGGUAAGUCCAUGGAUAAUCCCCGAGCCUUCCCCACAAGCAAGUGGGUCUCCUGGACAGCUUAGUGUUGUAUUUAAUAUCGAGCUUCUAUUUCAAAUAUCGUGGGCCUCAUUCCUUCUAGUACACCAUAGGUAGUCAUGUCACAAGUGUGGUUAGAGUGAUCUUGCAAGACCACAAACCCCUAGGGUACAACAAUAAUGGUAACUGUAAGCAUCGAGUAGCAAGAGAUGUGCAAACCUCAUUAAACACUAAGAAUAAGCCUAAAUAUGUGGAUCUAACUGGCCAACGCAAUUCACAAAGCGCUAUGCGUCAUAUAAUAUUUUCUUAAGCACUUUUGGUGAAUAGAGCACUUGGAAUGGAGCCUGAACUCCUCCACAACUUCAACACAUUCUGACACCAUUCAUUUGUCUGGCCAAUGGAGUAUAUAUAGCCUCUUCCAUCAAAACUAGCUAGUUGGUGGUGGUGUAACACCCUAAAAAUUGUUUCCUUCAAAAAUAGGGCUAAAAUGAUUUAUUUAUGAAUUUUUGUGCUCAUGAAACAUAGAAAAAUAAUAUUUUUCAUUAAAAUAAAAUUUAUCAUAGGACUUAGCAACUUGUUGUGCAUUCAUACUUUUGCAUCAAUUUUUGUUGACUUGAGUAGUUUGACUAAAGUUUAAAAGUAUUUCAAAGUGUUUUUUAAAAUGGAUUUGAAAAUGGAUUUGGAAUAAAAGAAAGGAAAAGAAAAUAAUAAAGACAAACCCCCUCAUCUCUGUUUUGGCCCGAGUGGCCAUCUCUCUCCCUCGGGCCCAAGUUUCCCACCCCCUCACUCGCGGCUCAGCCCAGCAAGCAGAGGCAGCCGGCCUGCCCCGCGCCAUCCCCCUUCCUUCCCUUUCUCAGCCCAAGCCGCAGACUGAGCCCAGCUCUUCUUCCUGGCCCAGUCCACACGCCCACCAGGCCACUCAUCCCCUUCCCAUCUCCUCUCUCACGCUGACGAGACAGAACCACGCGUCGGACUCCUCCCUCUCCUACUUUUCUUCCUCCCCUACGCCGUAUCCGACCGGGACACCGAAAGAGGUAACGAAUCCCCGGGAUUUUCGAGAUCUUGGAUGGAAUCGACACCCUUAUAAGGCCAGAUACCUCCUCCGCAUCUCGUUUUUCCAUCUACGAAGCACAGAGACGCUCUAGCCGCCAUAAACACCGUGGAUUGGAUCUUCCCGAGUCCAAAUUCCCUACUAUAGUGGAGGGCCUUGUUCUCUGCGGUUUUCGCGAAAUCAAGACCCUGCCGAGCUUCUCGUCAAGGUUGCGAGGCUCCCCGUGACUCCACAUCUCUUUUUUCUCCCUCUCUACAUUGCUCUAAUUGUCGCCGAACCUCGCAGGGGAGCUCUCAUCCGCCGCUACACGCUGGACGGCAUAUCCGGUCGAUUUCCGACCCCAAAACGUCCCUAGGUGAGUUCGCUCUCUCCCCUCGACUCCCCGGUGCCUUGCUUUCAUUUUUCGGUGGCCGGAAUCGCUCAAGUGGUGACCUCCGGCGAGGUUUGCUUGCUUCCGACAAUGGCGCCGCCGCACCUGAGUUGCCGACGGCCGGCCGAGCGCCCCCAACCCCCUCUAUGCCAUCCGAUCUGAAACCAACGCGCUCGAUUAGAAGAUACCCCUUCGGGGUCAAUCUUUCUAAAGAGCCCCUCCGUUUUCUGAGAAUAGAACCCGCGGUCCGUAUACGUCUUUUAAAAAAUACGCUUUCUCUUUCUGAAAACGUAAAGUCUACCGGCUUGUUUUCAAAAUACGUUUUUAGUAAUUACAAGUUUGCCACUGAUUUUCUUUUGCUCAUAAAAUAUUUAUUCUAACUCCGAUUUGACCCAUUCAAAUUGCCUUGGAUUCGUAAUCACAAAAUCUACAUGUUAGUAAACUUAAUUCACCAGUUUGAAACUUUUUAAUUUUGUGACUUUAAUUAAUUAAUUUCUUUUCUAUAUAAAAUCUUAGAAAAUUCUUAACUUUUCUAAUUUUCGUGAUCUUUUCGUCUGUGAGAUUGUAGCAAUGCGUAGAAUCUUUUUCUAAACUUUUCAUACUGUUUUUAUAUGAUUGGUGUACUGUUCUAAUUGUAGCCUUGUUUGCUUCGUGUAUGUUGUCUCCGAUUGUUUGUGUGUUGAUGAUCGAUGAUCGAGUUUAGUUGGUGAACAAUUCGUGGUGAACAAGAGUACUUCAGUGAUCAAGACAAGAGCUUGGACAACUAGUAAGAUCAGUAGGAUCAGCAAGAGCAAUUGGAUUAAGGCAAGUAUAGCAUUUGGAUUUUAUUUCUGUGAGCAUGAUCCUGUGACUAGAUUAAUGUUAAGUAAUGAAUAAUAAAAAUGACUUUUUAGCCACUUGAUGAUUUAUCUGUAAGUGAUAACCGGGACAACAGUGCAACCAUGAGGGCUAUAAUGGCUCUGGCUUUAGCUCAGUAUGAAGACCUUUUCUAGCUUGUUAAGGUUACCCGAAAGGGCGCUAGAGGGGCUGAACCGGCACGGGUAUAGUGCGAGCCCCUGUCCCUAUGUGUAUAGGCUGCGCGUCAUUGUGCCAUUUGGAAGGGGGUAUCUAUAUCUGCUUGCAAAGGAAACCUUGCGGCCCUAACAUGUUAGACGAACUUUUGAAAGGCUUCAUAGUGAUCCCUGCCGACCUUCCUUGGUAGUGGGUUAAGAGGUCGACGGGCCUCAGGCGAAAGGGUAAAUCAUGACUCGUGGGUAACGAUGUACAACCUCUGCAGAGUGUUAAAACUGGUAUACUAGCUAUGCUCACGGUCAAGAGCGACCUUGGGGAUUCUUGCAUUAAGGGUAAUGACUCUAUUUGUGUUAAAAUACUCAUUAUUUAUUGUUUUAUGCUCUACAUUAUUUAUGUCACAUUGAUCAUGAGGUUGUGGGAGCUAUACAAUCUAGUUUCUAUACUCAUGGAGUUCGACCUAGACUCACUCUUGCUAUUUCCCCCAAACUCCAGGAGGUGUUUUAGGCUUGUGAUCAACCAGUCAGUUUGUAUCUUGUAGAGUGAAGUUAAUACCCGAAGUUUGGCGUUGUCUAUCCGCUGUUUGCUAUCAAAGGUUAUAUCUUUUAUUUUAAGUAUGUUAUAUUUAUGCAUUGUCUUUUGAUAUUACACCUUAUUUGUAGCUAUAUGUGAGAUUUGGCUUUUAAAACUCACAUGUGGUGUAUAUCUGAUUUUGUCCUUAAAAUCGGGUAUUACAAAGUGGUAUCAAAGCAAUGCUGACUAUUGGACGCAAGCCUAGUUAGAAAUUGGCCGUCGUAAGGUUUUGAAAUUGCCAUAAAUCCUUGUUCUAUAAACCUUGGUAUUUUCCUCUACAGUAUAUCUCUACCCUUGCUAUUCCUCUCUACCUUGUUGCUUAUUUUAAAAAGCCUUGUUCUCAUCUUUACUCCUUGAUUUGGUAUGCUUUUAGAACCUUUUCUUAUCACCUUCUUGCGUCUUUGAAAUAUAAAUUUUAGAAUCUUUACCCUUAGUAUGAACAAAACGAUAGUAUCGCCAGUUGAGUGAAGUGUGAACCUUCAAUGCUUAGUUGGUUUGUUAUUAUGUUUAUGCUUGAUUUGGAUCUUUGUAAUGAGUGCAAUGAUUUUGUGGGAUUUCUCCACAAUAUCAUUUAGUUUACAGGCCUAAGGCAUAAGGAGUGAUGAAAUAAGUAGUUGGGUUUGGUUAUAUCCUGUUUCCCUCCCUUGUUGAUUUCUGGAGCAGUUUGCAAUAAUGCUGGUGUAUUUCAAGGUCUGAUCGUGCAAAGUUUAUCAAAAUUUUUUGGGAACAACUAGACUUCAAGAUGUUUCUCUGACCUUAGAAAUCACCCCCAUAUCUAUUUUUGAAUUGGACUUAUGAAAAUCACAAGUGGAUGCAGUUGCGCUGUCCAGAAUCUGGACCAGUUUCGGGAACUUGCUGUUUGCGACAAAUAUAGCUAUAGAAUUUUGUCACACCCAAUUUUGAGGAAGAAAUUGAAUGCAUAAACUUAUGUGCACCCAGAGAUCAAUCACACACAUAAGUCACAAAUUAAAUACCAUCAUCGCAGUGUUUAUAACAAACAUAGUUAUUACAUCACAAAGUCUGGUACAACAGCGGAAAUAUAUAUAAAUAAGAUAAUCUAAGAUAACUAUCUCAUGGCCCUCACACAGGAAAGGUCGACUAGUGAAGCACAAGCCUAAUAGUCCUCCGGGUAGUCCUCAUAGCUACCUCCAUCUGUUACCCAUCCGGGAAUUUUAUCCAAAGAAAAGAAAUAUACAAGCGUGAGUAUAUCUCGUACUCCACAAGCAUAGCAUGAGGAUUUAUGAGGCUCAAACAGGCUAAUCUAGGUUUAUAGCGUCAGCUUUUUAGUAGGUCAGCAUUUUAUCAUUAAUUAUCAUUAGGUUAUGCUUCAGUUCCCAAAUAUCCCAUAUGAUCAGUUAUCAGAACCAUAGUAAGUCAUUAAGUCACAUUAAAGCAUAAUUAUACAUCAUCAUGUACCAUAUAGCCAUCAGUAACCAGUUAUUCUGUGAGUUUUCCGGGCCGCUCGUGACUGUGAGCACGGUUGUUAUAAUAGUUAUACACUCUGCAGAGGUUGUGCACUUUCACCGUGAGUCGUGUUGCCCAUAUGCCCGAGGUCCGUCGACUCCCAAACACUACCAAGGUGAGCGGGCAGGGUACACUAUGAAGCCUUCCAUAGGCCUAUUCUAACCAGUUAGGGCCGUGAGGUUUCCUCGGCAGGCAGAUGUAGAAAACCCCCUUUUCUAUGGUACAUUUCCAUCGCGGCUAUACUCAUAGAAACAGGGGCAACACUACACCCAAAGUGGCAAGCCCCUCUUGCGCCCUUUCGGGUAACCUCUAACGAGUUAGAAAAGAUCCUAUUACUGAGCUAAAGUCAGAGCCAUGUGACUCUCCCGGUUGCACUGUAAGUCCCAACUUUUGCCGACAGAUAAGUCCUUACGGAGGGUCUAGGACAACAUGACCAACGGUCAUUUGUACUAUAGCCCUAUGUUCCAUUUAUCAUAAUCAUGUUUAAUCAAUUAACCAUGGUUCCAUCACUGAUUUCAGAUCAUAUAUAAUUAGAGUUAGAGGACUAGCAGUUCUACCCAUAUGCAAUAAAAGCCCUCGGGAACAAGGUAAUUAUCAUCAACAGCUAGGAUGUCCUUAUAGUUUGCAAUAUUAUACACAUGCAGGGUGAAAUGCUUAAAAAUGAGUAGGACAACAAGGUAGGCCCAUGCUAUACUUGCCUUGGUUCAUGUACUCGUGCUGGUCUUGCUGUCCUCAAAGAGCUCCGGACUCCCGAAAUACUCCUCACCGUCUGGGCUCGAUCAAUACAUCACAAUCAUCACGCAUACCAAGACAAACAUGCAAGAGAACAAUUCCUAAAGUUAGAACAGUACACUAGCAGUAAAUAAAUUAAAUAAAAGUUUUCCAAAAUCAUCUACGUGCUGCUACGAUCAUGUCAACGCGAAAUUCACGAAAAAACGGACUUUCGACGCGAAAGUUACGCUUUUAACGGGAUUUCAACAGCAAUCUACGGACUUGUAAUUAACUAGGAAAUCUAGCAGUGGUAAACCUAAACAACAGUAGUACCAAUGUGAAGCUUACAAAAUUACAAAACUAACGCAACUUGAACGGAUCGAUUCGGAGUUCAAACGACGAUUUUAUAGCUAAAACAAUGCGGUGGCAAUUCUGUAAAUAAAGCAUGAUUUAAAUGAAUUUAAAUAAAUAUAAAAUCUUUGGAAUAUUCUCUCGCCGAGGACUGCGGUGCAAAAUUCUAUAAUUCUGGGGGACUCUUUAACAAGAUCGCCCCCGAAGGGGUACGGGGCUCUCUGGGCCAUCCGAUCGCGAACGGGCGGCCGAGAUUAAAAGGGGGAAGGGGAGAGAGAAGGGGCUCGCCGGCCGGCCGGCCGAAACUCGCCGGAGAAGUCCUAGAACCCGCUACGAAGCUCGGUUUCGCGAAGCAAAAACACCGGGAGAGAGAGGAGGUCGCGGCGAAUCCCAUCCUAGCCCUUACGCGGCCGGAGAAACGCCCGCGCUGCGCGGGACGUGGCGGCGCCAUUGCCGGAGUCCAUGGAGCUCGUAGCAAGGGCGCGAGAAGGCACCAAACCGCACGAGACUUGGCCGAGAAGGACGCGGAGAAGGAGAGGACCUCACCAGCGCGAAGAUUGGAGGCGGAGGAGGCUCAGAAUGGCGGCUUCGCGCGGAGGUCGCGGCGGCGCUCCGGCGACGGUUUCUGCGCAAGCCGAGAGAAGCAGCGGCAGGGAAAGAAGGGAGGGGGGAAAAGCUCGGGCGCGCGGGGGGGCUCUCCAACUUAAAGACCGAGGCGCGGGGGGAUCGUGGGGGAGCGGGGUGGGCGCGGCUUGGCGGUUUUAGCAGAGAGAGGGAGAAGCGGGCGGCGGUUUGGGGAAGGGGAUGGACCUGACGGGUGGGCCCCACCCGUCAGCUGCUAGAGAGAGAGGGGGGGAAUGGAAGCCGGCUGGACUAGGCCCAAGAAGGAGAAGGGGGAAAAUAAAUUCCAUUUCCUUUUAUGUUUUUUAUACCAAAUUUCCAAUUGAAAUUUUGAGCAGGGAAAGAAAAUAAAUAAAUCAUUUUGUUUUCCAACCAAUCAUCACAAAAGAAAUGCUCCAGCAUGAAUGCAAAAAAAAUUAUUAUUCUAAACUUAAAUUAAAUUUUAAUUUCUCCAAAUUUAUUUAUUUUCCUAUAUUCAAAAUGCUCACAAAAUAAAUUCAUUUAAUUUCAUUUCAUCUAUAUAAAAGAAAUAAAAUUUUUGGGUGCUACAAUUCUACCCCCCUUAAAAAAUAAUCUCGUCCUCAAGAUUGGGUGGUGCUUACUCAAACAGUUGUGGAUACGACUUUCUCAAAUCCUCUUCUCUUUCCCAGGUGGCUUCAUCUUCGGUAUAACGGUUCCACUGUACUUUACACAUCUUUAUGGUUCUGCUUCUUGUAACUCUGUAUGCAGUUUCCAAGAUCUUUAUCGGGUACUCUUCAUUUGUGAGAUCUUCUUUAACGGUCAACUCAUCUAUAGGAAUCUGCUCUUCGGGUACCCGCAAACACUUCUUCAACUAAGAAACAUGGAAUACAUCAUGUACACCUGACAAGCUCUCAGGAAGUUCUAACUGAUAGGCUACUUCUCCACGUCUUGCAAGAAUCCUGAAAGGUCCGACGUAUCUCGAUGCUAGCUUACCCUUCACAUUGAGUCUCUACGCACUCCUCAUUGGAGAUACCUUCAGAUAUACAAAAUCACCCUCUUUGAAGCUCAAAUCCCUUCUUCGGGUGUCGGCAUAACUUUUCUGUCUGGACUGUGCCACUCUUAGAUUGUCCCUAAUCAUCCUCACUUGUUCUUCAGCACUUCUUAGGACGUCUGGUCCAAACACCUGUGUCUCACCAGUUUGAUUCCAGAAUAAAGGUGUCCUACACUUGCGACCAUACAAAGCUUCAAAUGGUGCCAUCUUGAGACUCUUCUGGUAGCUGUUGUUAUAGGAAAACUCAGCAUACGGCAGACUUUUGUCCCAACUAGUGCCAUACUGCAGAGCACAAGCUCUCAAUAUGUCCUCCAAGAUUUGAUAAAUUCUCUCUGUCUGUCCAUCAGUCUGGGGAUGAUAAGCAGAACUGAAGUUCAGCUUAGUUCCCAAGGAUCUAUGUACUUUGUGCCAAAAGUGCGAUGUAAACUGAGUUCCUCGGUCAGACACGAUCUUCUUUGGAACUCCGUGUAAGCACACAAUCCUUUCCAUGUAUAGCUCAGCUAACCUUGCCCCAUUGUAGUUGGUUUUGACUGGUAAGAAAUGUGCAACCUUAGUGAGUCGGUCUACUAUUACCCAAAUCGAGUCAUACCCACGUUGAGUACGUGGCAACCCGGUAAUAAAGUCCAUACCGACUUCUUCCCAUUUCCAUUCGGGUAUCUGCAUUGGUUGAAACAACCCUGCAGGUCGUUGGUGCUCAGCUUUCACCCUCUGACAGGUGUCACACAAAGCAACAUGCUAUGCUACAUCCCUUUUCAAUCCAUACCACCAAUAUCUCUCCUUUAGGUCCAAAUACAUCUUGGUACUCCCAGGGUGUAUUGAAUAAGCAGAGUCAUGCGCCUCACGCAGAAUUGUGUCUCGGAUAGCCUUCACUUCAGGCACACAUAUCCUUUUCCCAAACCAUAGGGUACCAUUCUCAUCUAUCCUGAAGCCUGGUGCCUUUCCAAGCACUACAUUAUCUGCUAUCUCUUUUAAUUUCUCAUCUUCCAACUGACUCUUACGUAUCUCUUGUUCCAAUGUUAACUCUAUCUCUAGACCCAUGGUAUGAUUCACAAAGCCUAUGUUGAGGUGUUCUAUUUCGGCUCGUAACUCAGCUAGAAUAAAUGUCAGCUGAAGUCUGUUGACAUAGCUUUUCCUACUAAGUGCAUCUGCAACUACAUUUGCUUUCCCAGGGUGAUAAUGCACUUCCAAGUCGUAAUCCUUGAUCAGCUCUAACCAACGACGUUGCCUCAGAUUCAGGUCUGACUAGGUAAAGAUAUACUUUAGGCUCUUAUGGUCUGUGUAAAUAUCACACUUAUGACCAAUCAAGUAAUGCCUCCAAAUUUUUAAAGCAUGAACCACUGUGGCUAGCUCCAAAUCAUGAGUAGGGUAAUUCAACUCAUGUUUCCUCAACUGUCUAGAUGCAUAGGCCACUACUCUUCCUUGUUGCAUGAGCACACAACCUAAACCUAAGCGAGAAGCAUCACAAUAGAUGGAGAAGCUCUUGCUUAAGUCAGGUAAGGUCAACACUGGAGCUGUGGUCAACCUCUUCUUUAACUCCUCAAAGUUAGCCUGACAUUUGUCUGACCAAACAAACUUAGCACUCUUCUCUAAUAAGGCUGUCAUGGGCUUAGCAAGUUUAGAGAAUCCUUCAAUGAAUCUCCUAAAAUAUCCGGCCAAUCCCAGAAAGCUACGGAUUUCACUCACAUUGGUCGUGGGUUUCCAAUUCAACACAUCUUGCACCUUGCUGGGGUCCACGGCUAUCCCUCCAUUAGAGACCACGUGUCCUAGAAAGGAGACCUCGUUUAGCCAAAACUCACACUUGCUUCUUUUGGCAUAUAGCUUAUGUUCUCUAAGCUUUUGUAAGACUAGCCUCAGAUGCUCUGCAUGUUCCUCUUUAGUUUUGGAAAAGAUGAGUAUGUCAUCAAUGAACACCACUACAAACUUAUCCAAGAACUCCAUGAACACCUUGUUCAUGAGGUACAUGAAAUAUGCGGGUGUAUUGGUCAGCCCAAAAGACAUAACUGUGUACUCAUACAGGCCAUACCUAGUAGUAAAGGUUGUGUUAGGUACAUCCGAUGCAUGAAUUUUCAGUUGGUGAUAACCGGAUCGAAGGUCUAUUUUGAGAACACACAAGCACCUUUUAGCUGAUCAAACAGGUCAUCAAUUCUAGGCAAAGGGUACUUGUUUUUGAUGGUUACUUCAUUUAGUGACCGGUAAUCCACACACAUUCUCCUGGUACCAUCUUUCUUAUCGACAAAGAUAACGGGUGCUCCCCAAGGUGAUGAACUAGGACGAAUAAAACCCUUCUCUAACAACUCCUUAAUUUGUUUCUUAAGUUCCUCUAGUUCAUUCACUCCCAUUCUAUAAGGUCUUUUAGCUAUAGGUGCAGUUCUAGGUAAAAGUUCAAUAAGGAAUUCGAUGUCUCGGUCAGGUGGCAUACCUGACAAUUCAUCAGGGAACACAUCAGGGAAGUCAUCCACCACUUGGAUCUCCUCAUUGACCUCAUCAGUCAACUGGUUCACGGUAGCAGUUGGAGGUGCUUGCACUGCCACUUCUACACAAAUUCUAUCCCCUUUAGGUGAUGUUACUACCACAGACUUCUCCUGGCAUUGAAUCACUGCCCGAUGUUGCUUCAUCCAAUCCAUCCCAAGGAUAAGGUCAAUACCAGAAGUUCUUAGCACAAUGGGGUUUACUUUGAACUCUACCCCCCUUGGAGAAACACUAGUGGAGGGACUCCAAUAGUUCGCUGGCAUAGUACCCCCCGGUGAAUUCACUAGCAUUGAGUUUUUCAUGGCACAUAAAGCUAUGCUAUGUACUCUAAUAAAAGCUUGCGAGAUGAAAGAAUGCGAAGCUCCGAAAUCAAAAAGUACAGUAGCAGGGAUGGAGUUGAUACUGAACGUACCCAGCAUGACCUCGGGUGCCUCCUGAGCUGAUUCAGUAGACACAUGGUUCACCCUUCCAGUGUGGGGUGGUCGAGCACUGGGCCUCUGAUUGUUAUUCUGAUUCUGUGGAGCUGAGGGGUUCUGCUUCUUCGGGCACUGAUGGGCAUAUUGACCCACUUCACCACAACGGUAGCAAGCAUUGGGGUUGUUUGCCACUGCUGCCUUCACUGGAGCAUUGUUGGGCACACCUGGACGUGGUGCCUGGGGGUUAGCUUGCUGCUGAGGGCGUUGAUUACCAAACUGCUGCUGGUACUGGGGACGUUGCUGGUUUUGGUUUUGGUUGCGCGGAGGGUACUGGCCCUGAUUCCACUGACUAGGGGGCCUCUGGUUUCUCGGAGGAAAGCCCUGCUGAGGAAACAUGCGCGGAUGAGUGUUGCUGCUAGAUGCCUGCCCCUGAAUCUUCCUCUUCUUAGCAUCCAUCUCUUUGCGCUUAUUGUCAAUCACAAUCACGCAGUUCACAAGUUUCUGGAAGCUGGGGUAAACAUUGGACAUCAACUGCAGUUGCAGACCAUCAUACAGUCCUUUCAGGAAACAUUGCUUGUCAGAAUCCUUGGCUACUUCACCCGGAGCGUAACAUGACAAUUGAGCGAACUUGUCACGGUACUCAGCGACAGUCAUGGAGCCUUGCUUGAGAGCACGGAACUCCUCUUGUUUGAGCUCGAUGAGCCCCUCUGGAAUGUGGUAAGACCGGAAACUCUCGGUGAAUUCCCUCCAAGUGACAGGUGGUGCAUUGUUUGGACGUCCAUAUUGGUAGGACUCCCACCACUCCUGUGCAGCCCCUUGCAGUUGUCCAGAGGCAUACAACACCUUCUCCAUCUCAUUGCACUGAGCAAUGUUCAGCUGCUUCUCCACAGCUCUUAACCAAUCAUCAGCUUCUAAAGGGUCACUAGCAUGUGUAAAAAUAGGGGGACGUCCCUUCAUGAACUCUCCCCUCUUAUCGCGAACCUGGACCGGUGGUGGUACGACGGCGGGCUGGUGAUCCAGGCGAUCCAUCAUAGUUUGCAUCAAUUGAGUUUGCAUCAGCAUGAGCUGCUCCACUGUCACAGGCUGUGGUGGUGGCGGUGGGUCCACCGGUGCGCCACGGCCACGUCCACGGCCACGGCCUCGACCUCAACCACGGACUCUUCCUCCAUCAUCAGCCAUCUGUUUCCAACAAAGGAAUAAGCUUUUAGAGGUCUUUCCAUAAUUAUAAACUGAUUAUAAUAUCAAAUAAGCUUUGCUGAAAUUUUUCUGGACAAGAUGCAAAAUCAGCAGUGCAGUAUUUACUCAUAACUCGAGUUUCUGAGAUCCAACAGAGGCGUGCCAUACAUGUUUGGAACGCUUAUAAAAUUUGUUACAACUUUUGUUAAGACCACUUUUACAGAUUCUGAUAUUAUCUUGAUCAAAAACAGGGGUAAAGCGAAUCUGUUCUGUGUUCUAGUCUGCGCAAUAGUCCCAGAUUGUAACAAGGAUAUCUCCCAGACCCGAGCAGGUUUUGAUGUGGUUCCAGUUGCAAAUGAGAGAUACAUCAGUCUAGUUUCCUCCACAAUACUUUCAGAAUUUUUGGACGUACCACUUCAGAGAUAAAAGUUAAACAUCACAGGCUGCUCCAGAAAAACAGUACAGCAACAGCAGAAUAUACCAACCCAACUAAGCAUUCGAUAAUUAAACUUAAGAUAACAGAAGUUUGUAGAUAAAUCCACAACCUUCCAGCAGUCAUUACAAAGAUUCAAAUCAUACAAAGACAUAAAGAAAUUCAACGGACACAUCAAUUGUUCACAAACACUCCAAACUCAACUGACACAACGGGACUGCGAAAUAAAACAACUAUGGCAUACUAGGCCUAUGGUGCGUCGCCGGAGAUGCUAGGAGGUGCGGUCUUCUUCUUGUAGAGCGGUGGCAACUCAAGCUGCUCUCUAAGGCUGUCAACCAUCUCCUGGAAGCGAUCUAUGGAAUCCUGCUGAUCACGUAGCUCCUCCUGUAGAUCAUCAUUGGCCAUCUGCAGGACAUGCAUAUGCCUAACAGUGGCAUCCAAGGGCGUGUCAACCUCCUGCGGGUUCUCGAUGGACCAAGUACCAAUAGUAGAAUCAUGGCGAGGGAGGAACUUGUAUUGGUCUGUUCUCAUGGCCUCAUAGCGAAGGCCAUGGUAGUGAGUGUAAGCCAUCUGGGCGGCGUCCUCCAUGCUGUCCCGUGCCUCAGCUCGCCUAGCAAUGUGACCAUGAAUGCUCUCUACCAUAUAGCUGUCAUGUGUCUCAUUCUCCACUGUGAUGGUAAGAUCUGACCUCCAGUAUGUGGCCUCAUAGGGGUGUGUGUACUCUGCACAGCAGUACCUGAUGCCAAUCUCCUUAUCAGCAUAGUAAGUAUCCAACAUCUCCCUAAGCAAGUUGUGGAAGUAGGCUGUCUGUGAAGGAUACUUGUAGUGGAUGGUGGUAGUCCAUCCUGGGUCUUCUUCCUCAGGACCAUCUGGAGACACCACCUCUGGUACAACAGGGGCAGCAGGUGCAACUGGUGGAGCUGGUGGUGUAGGUGCAACAGGUGCCACUGGAACAGCUGGUGGAGUGGGUGCAGUGGGUGGAACAGGUGCAGCUGCUACAGAAGAGUCCAUCCAGCUUUCAUCAUCAUCAUCCACCUCUGUCAUCAUCGCUGGGUCCUCUUCAUCCAUAGGGACGGUCUCAUCAUCGGAGAUGUCCACCACUGACUGGGAUGACUGGGGCGUGAACUGAGAGAUGUAGCUCCUGGUGCUGGCGCGGCGAGACCUCGUGAUAGGCGGCAUUUAUAAAUUUUAUUUUAAGAUUAGAUCAACAUUUUGGCAAUAGAAUAAGUGAUAUAAACAUAAUAAAUUUUAUAAAAUAACAAAAGGUAAGGUAGAAAUCAUUAAAUAAAUAAAACAAAGACACUAUAUCGACCGUUGCUACCUGGGCUUGUGUCCUACAGUCAACCUAGCUUUGAUACCAAUUUCUCACACCCAAUUUCGAGGAAGAAAUUGAAUGCAUAAACUUAUGUGCGCCCAGAGAUCAAUCACACACAUAAAUCACAAAUUAAAUACCAUCAUCGCAGUGUUUACAACAAACGUAGUUAUUACAUCACAAAGUCUGGUACAACAACGGAAAUAUAUAUAAAUAAGAUAAUCUAAGAUAACUAUCUCAUGGCCCUCACACAGGGAAGGUCAACUGGUGAAGCACAAGCCUAAUAGUCCUCCGGGUAGUCCUCAUAGCUACAACCAUAUGUUACCCAUCUGGGAUUUUUAUCCAAAGAAAAGAAAUAUACAAGCGUGAGUACAUCUCGUACUCCACAAGCAUAGCAUGAGGAUUUAUGAGGCUCAAACAGGCUAAUCUAGGUUUAUAGCGUCAGCUUUUUAGUAGGUCAGCAUUUUAUCAUUAAUUAUCAUUAGGUUAUGCUUAAGUUCCCAAGUAUCCCAUAUGAUCAGUUAUCAGAACCAUAGUAAGUCAUUAAGUCACAUUAAAGCAUAAUUAUACAUCAUCAUGUACCAUAUAGCCAUCAGUAACCAGUUAUUCUGUGAGUUUUCCGGGCCGCUCAUGACCGUGAGCACGGCUGUUAUAACAGUUAUACACUCUGCAGAGGUUGUGCACUUUCACCGUGAGUCGUGUUGCCCAUAUGCCCGGGGUCCGUCGACCCCCAAACACUACCAAGGUGAGCAGGCAGGGUACACUAUGAAGCCUUCCAUAGGCCUAUUCUAACCAGUUAGGGCCGCGAGGUUUCCUCGGCAGGCAGAUGUAGAAAACCCCCCUUUUAUAUGGCACAUUUCCAUCGCGGCUAUACUCAUAGAAACAGGGGCAGCACUACACCCAAAGUGGCAAGCCCCUCUUGUGCCCUUUCGGGUAACCUCUAACGAGUUAGAAAAGAUCCUAUUACUAAGCUAAAGUCAGAGCCAUGUGACUCUCCCGGUUGCACUGUAAGUCCCAGCUUUUGCCGAUAGAUAAGUCCUUACGGAGGGUCUAGGACAACAUGACCAACGGUCAUUUGUACCAUAGCCCUAUGUUCCAUUUAUCAUAAUCAUGUUUAAUCAAUUAACCAUGGUUCCAUCACUGAUUUCAGAUCAUACAUAAUUGGAGUUAGAGCACUAGCACUUCUACCCAUAUGCAAUAAAAGCCCUCGGGAACAAGGUAAUUGUCAUCAACAGCUAGGAUGUCCUUAUAGUUUGCAAUAUUAUACACAUGCAGGGUGAAAUGCUUAAAAAUGAGUAGGACAACAAGAUAGGCCCAUGCUAUACUUGCCUUGGUUCACGUACUCCUGCUGGUCUUGCUGGUCCCCAAAGAGCUCCGGACUCCCGAAAUACUCCUCACCGUCUAGGCUCGAUCAAUACAUCACAAUCGUCACGCAUACCAAGACAAACAUGCAAGACAACAAUUCCUAAAGUUAGAACAGUACACCAGCAGUAAAUAAAUUAAAUAAAAGCUUUCCAAAAUUAUCUACGUGCUGCUACGAUCACGUCAACGCGAAAUUCACGAAAAACGGACUUACGACGUGAAAGUUACGCUUUUAACGGGAUUUCAACAGCAAUCUACGGACUUGUAAUUAACUAGGAAAUCUAACAGUGGUAAACCUAAACAACAGUGGUACCAACGUGAAGCUUCCGGAGUAGUUGUUUCAUCUGUUUUAGCAAGAAGAGCUGCAAGCCGUGAUGCCAUUUCUCUGGUAUUAGGGAGUAGCCGAGCAGUAGUUUCUAUUGUUUUACCCAGCAGUGUUAGUUUCGAUAGUGUAUUGAGUUCUCGUAUCGGCCUAUUCCGUUUUAGCAGUUCAAGUUAAGCUUGCAACCCUAGUUUGACUACAAAAUUACAAAACUAACGCAACUGGAACGGAUCGAUUCGGAGUUCAAACGACGAUUUUAUAGCUAAAACAAUGUGGUGGCAAUUCUGUAAAUAAAGCCUGAUUUAAAUGAAUUUAAAUAAAUAUAAAAUUUUUGGAAUAUUCUCUGGCCGAGGACUACGGUGCAAAAUUCUAUAAUUCUAGGGGACUCUUUAACAAGAUCGCCCCCGAAGGGGUACGGGGCUCUCUGGGCCAUCCGAUCGCGAACGGGCGGCCGAGAUUAAAAGGGGGAAGGGGAGAGAGAAGGGGCUCGCCGGCCGGCCGGCCGGAGCAAGGCCUCCACGGCGGCGCCGCCAUGGCCGGCAGCCGAAACUCGCCGGAGAAGUCCUAGUACCCGCUACGAAGCUCGGUUUCGCGAAGCAAAAACACCGGGAGAGAGGGGAGGUCGCGGCGAAUCCCAUCCUAGCCCUUGCGCGGCCGGAGAAACGCCCGCGCAGCGCGGGACACGGCGGAUCCAUUGUCGGAGUCCGCGGAGCUCGCAGCAAGGGCGCGAGAAUUCACCAAACCGCACGAGACUUGGCCGAGAAGGACGUGGAGAAGGAGAGGACCUCACCAGCGCGAAGAUUGGAGGCGGAGGAGGCUCAGAACGGCGGCUUCGCGCGGAGGUCGCGGCGGCGCUCCGGCGACGGUUUCUGCGCAAGCCGAGAGAAGCAGCGGCAGGGAGAGAAGGGAGGGGGGGAAAGCUCGGGCGCGCGGGGGGGCUCUCCAACUUAAAGACCGAGGCGCGGGGGGAUCGUGGGGGAGCGGGGUGGGCGCGGCUUGGCGGUUUUAGCAGAGAGAGGGAGAAGCGGGCGGCGGUUUGGGGAAGGGGAUGGACCUGACGGGUGGGCCCCACCCAUCAGCUGCUAGAGAGAGAGAGGGGGAAUGGAAGCCGGCUGGGCCAGGCCCAAGAAGGAGAAGGGGGAAAAGAAAUUCCAUUUCCUUUUAUGUUUUUUAUACCAAAUUUCCAAUUGAAAUUUUGAGCAAGAAAAGAAAAUAAAUAAAUCAUUUUGUUUUCCAACCAAUCAUCACAAAAGAAAUGCUCCAGCAUGAAUGCAAAAAAAAAAUUAUUAUCCUAAACUUAAAUUAAAUUUUAAUUUCUCCAAAUUUAUUUAUUUUCCUAUAUUGAAAAUGCUCACAAAAUAAAUUCAUUUAAUUUCAUUUCAUCUAUUUAAAAGAAAUAAAAUUUUUGGGUGUUACAAAUUUGGAAAAGUGGUCUAUAGAAAAGUUGUAGACAAUUUUCUAAGAUUUUCCAACAAUAUAAGCUGGAACUCAUUUGGAUAAGUAGAACCUGAGAUAUGACAUUUACACUUGGAUGUUUCUGUUCUAUUUUAAGAUCUGGACAGACCUGGUAAUUCCCAGUUUCAGCUAAAUUAACCUCAGAAUCUGGGAAAGAGUUGUAUACAAAAGUUGUAGAGGAUUUCAUAAGCUUUUCAACAAUGUAAGGAUCAUCUCCAGACGAGUUAAUUAGCUCGAGAUAUAACUUCUGGAAGCUACUGCACCUUUACUGAGACAUUUUCAGGAUGGAUAUUAAGUUUGGCUGUUUUACCUAAGUAUAAAUACAGAACCUACGGAGCUUUUCUACAUUAAAGUUGUAGGGAAUUUCAUAAGUUUUCUAACGGUAUAAGCUGCAACUCUAUUGGAUUAACAGGAUAAGAGUUAUACCUAUUUUACUACGCUGGUAUUUUUCAUAUCACGAGAAAAUUUCAGGAUACCUGUUUGUUCACUUGCACAUAAGCUCUUUGAGAUGUCAGAAGUUCUCAAUGUUAGUUAACUUGUCUGGAAAACAUGCAAGCUACCUUUCUUGUGCCCCUGGUUGACCUUUCAUAAGAGGGUAGCCUAAUUAAAGAAGUUACAAGAGAAGAAGUGGUUAAUGACUGGAACACCUACAAGGACGUCAAGUGCUUGGUUUGUUGGUUUGUUUCAAGAUAUCAUUCCAUUUGGAGUGUGUUAAUACCAAUGGAGGUUUAUGUCAUUACUGAUAUUCAUGGAUUAAGAGUUGUGUAUGAGGAUCGGAUGACACCAAAAGUUUACAAAGCUAUAUGUACAAUGUGAGAGUGGAGCAACUUAACCGUGAUAAAGGUACCGAUAAUUGGAACUUUGUGAUGAAACUAACCUUGGAUCAAGAGACUCGGUACAACGAAUGUAAAAGACUAUGAUGUGUAGUGUCCAAAAAAAAGAUAGGAGAACUAGUCCCUAGUGUCCCCCAAUCAACCUCAUCUUAAGGGGGGUAGUAUCUUGAUAUCACGGGAUGAUGCAUUUUAAGACUAUCUUGAAGUGAUAAUUGUCUUCUGAGACAUCUUAUGGUUAUGAUCAUUUAUCCUUGCCGUGCUACUGACGUUGGUCACUUGAUGACAGGGAGUGUAGUGUCCCAUGGAUCAGGAGCCCAAUAUGAUGCCUCUCAUGGAAAUGUGGGAAGAGUAUUAUCAUCUUCCCUUUGAAGAAAGAUGUUAUGAGUAUGACAAAGCUGAGUGUUAUCAAAAUAAUAAUACAGAAGAGCAAGUUGACAUUGAAUCAAAUCAAAAUCCACAACAAGGAAGCCUUUGUUAGUUCAAACCCCAGUGGGAGAAAUACAAGCAGAUCAGGUUUGCUCGAAUAUCAAUCUGGUCAUAAGCAAGGAAAACUUCAUAGUAAACCACAUUGUGUUAGAGUCACUCGAUAUUCCCGUAGUUCUUGGCAAUGGAUGGUUAUGUGCACACAAAGGAGUGGUCCAUGCUACCCAGUGAAAAAUUUUCGUAACCGCACCAUCAGGGAAAAUAAUUGAGUAUCAAGGUGGUCCGCUCCUACCUGAGGAGGCAUAUCCAUGCUAAGUUAUCAUGUCUUUGAGUUGUAUAAGUCAAAAGUUGGUAGUCAAGACGGACCUUGAUCAAUUACGAAUAAUAGAUAUUUUAUGGAAAUUUUGUUCACAAGUUGUGAUCCCGAGACAUAAGUGUUUGCAUUUGGAAUGCUAGUUGUGAAGUUGAAAUAGUUAUCAGUAUCUUUUUCUGUUUCUCUUUUGGAAUCCGUGCUCUUCCGAAUCUCGAGGACGAGAUUCAUUUUAAGGGGGUAGAUUUGUAACACCCUAAAAUUGUUUCCUUGGAAAAUAGGGCUAAAAUGAUUUAUUUAUUUAUUAAUUUUUGUGCUCAUGAAACAUAGGAAAAUAAUAUUUUUCAUUAAAAUAAAAUUUAUCAUAGGACUUAGCAACUUGUUGUGCAUUCAUGCUUUUGCAUUAAUUUUUGUUGACUUGAGUGGUUUGAUUAAAGUUUAAAAGUAUUUCAAAGUGAUUUUUAAAAUGGAUUUGAAAAUAGAUUUGGAAUAAAAGAAAGGAAAAUAAAAUAACAAAGACAAACCCCCUCAUCUCUAUUUUGGCCCGAGUGGCCAUCUCUCUCCCUCGGGCCCAACUUUCCCCCCCCCCUCACUCGCGGCUCACCCCACCAAGCAGAGGCAGCUGGCCUGCCCCGCGCCUUCCCCCUUCCUUCCCUUUCUCGGCCCAAGCCACAGACUGAGCCCAGCUCUUCUUCCUGGCCCGUCCACACACCCACCAGGCCACUCAUCCCCUUCACAUCUCCACUCUCACGCUGAUGAGACGGACCCACGCGUCGGACUCCUCCCUCUCCUACCUUUCUUCCUCCCCUGCGCCAUAUCCGACCAGGACACCGAAAGAGGUAACGAAUCCCUAGGAUUUUCGAGAUCUUGGAUGGAACCGACACCCCUAUAAGGCCAGAUACCUCCUCCACAUCUUGUUUUUCCAUCUACGAAGCACAGAGACGCAAUAGCCACCAUAAACGCCGUGGAUUGGAUCUUCCAGAGUCGGAAUUCGCCGAUGCAAUGGAGGGCCUUGUUCUCCGCGGUUUUCGUGAAAUCAAGACCCUGCCGAGCUUCUCGUCAAGGUUGCGAGGCUCCCCGAGACUCCACCUCUCUUUUUUCUCCCUCUCUACAUUGCUCUAAUUGUCGCCGAACCUCGUAGGGGAGCUCUCGUCCGCCGCUACACGCUGCAUGGCAUAUCCGGUCGAUUUUCGACCCCAAAACGUCCCUAAGUGUGUUCGCUCUCUCCCCCUUGACUUCCACGUGCCUUGCUUUCAUUUUUCGGUGGCCGGAAUCGCUCAAGUGGUGAACUCCGGCGAGGUUUGCUUGCUUCCGACAAUGGCGCCGCGGCACCUGAGUUGCCGACGGUCGGCCGAGCGCCCCCAACCCCCUCUAUGCCAUCCGAUCUGAAACCAACGCGCCCGAUUAGAAGAUACCCCUCUGGGGUCAAUCUUUCUAAAGAGCCCCUCAGUUUUCUGAGAAUAGAACCCGCGGUCCGUAUACGUCUUUUAAAAAAUACGCUUUCUCUUUCUGAAAACGUAAAGUUUGUCGGCUUGGUUUCAAAAUAUGUUUUCAGUAAUUACAAGUUUGCCACUGAUUUUCUUUUGCUCAUAAAAUAUUUAUUCUAACUCCAAUUUGAUCCAUUCAAAUUGCGUUGGAUUCGUAAUCGCAAAAUUUACAUGUUAGUAAACUUAAUUCACCAGUUUGAAACUUUUUAAUUUCGUGACUUUAAUUAAUUAAUUUCUUUUCUAUAUAAAAUCUUAGAAAAUUCAUAACUUCUCUGAUUUUUGUGAUGUUUUCGUCUGUGAGAUCGUAGCGAUGUGUAGAAUCUUUUUCUAAACUUUUCAUACUGUUUUUAUAUGAUUGGUGUACUGUUCUAAUUGUAGCCUUGUUUGCUUCGUGUAUGUUGUCUCCGAUUGUUUGUGUGUUGAUGAUCGAUGAUCGAGUUUAGUUGGUGAACAAUUCGUGGUGAACAAGAGUACUUCAGUGAUCAAGAUCAGAGCUUGGACAACUAGUAAGAUCACCAGGAUCAGCAAGAGCAAUUGGAUUAAGGCAAGUAUAGCAUUUGGAUUUUAUUUCUGUAACCAUGAUCCUGUGACUAGAUUAAUGUUAAGUAAUGAAUAAUAAAAAUAACUUUUUAGCCACUUGAUGAUUUAUCUGUAAGUGAUAACCGAGACAACAGUGCAAGCAUGAGGGCUAUAAUGGCUCUGGCUUUAGCUCAGUAUGAAGACCUUUUCUAGCUUGUUAGAGGUUACCCGAAAGGGCGCUAGAGGGGCUGAACCGACACGGGUAUAGUGCGAGCCCCCUCUCCCUAUGUGUAUAGGUUGCACGUCAUUGUGUCAUUCGGAAGGGGGUAUCUAUAUCUGCUCGCAAAGGAAACCUUGCGGCCCUAACAUGUUAGACGAACUUUUGAAAGGCUUCAUAGUGAUCCCUGCUGACCUUCCUUGGUAGUGGGUUAAGAGGUCUGUUGACGGUUCUUAAUUAUCAAUUUUAUUUAUCAAAUCAAUAAGAGAAAGGACCAAUCUGCAAACAGCACUUAGAAUUAGGGUUUGAUCUGACGGAAUUCCAUGAGUUUUGUUGUUUACCUAUUUCUACAGGGGGUUAUCAGGAAAUAAGGAAGAAAGGCCCACAUGUCGGGAUUACAUAGAGAUAUCAACGCACCGCGCGAUUUUCUACCAUCUAGAAGACUCCAGAAGCCACGGGAAGAAGACGGAGGCCGAAAGGGGCCAGGCCCAGGGCGCCCGCCCUGGUGACCUGGGCGCCCGCCCCCUGCUGGAUUGCAUUCAGGACUCUCUUCGCACGGAAUAUUCUACCGACCUAUUGGAUAAUGAAAAACAUAGUACCACCUCGCCUACCGACCCAAAAACACAUAGAGGAGGAGGACUAUAUAAGGAGACCCCCCUGGCCCCUGGAGAAGACAUGAAGAAAUUAUCAUAGAGACUGAGGGGUGCCCUCGAAGGAAAACCUCUUCUCUAAUUAAUAUUUCUUUUUUAGGCUUAGCAACCAAUGUAAGGUAGAAAUAGAUCUUCUAGUUUCUACUAGAUUGAGAGAGAUAGAGUGGAGGUGUAGAUUGGAGGAAGCCCGGCCUGUCGGUGUCUACUCCAAGCUUGUACCUGCGGGAUCAAGUUCUCCUAACCUGAAGCUUGCUCCUAGGAUUCUUCAGUAUUUCAACUUCUAAAUUCUAGUAAGUUCUUGUUUUAUUGUUCUUCUGGUUUAUGAGUUUACUUUAAUCUCUUCGCGUAGAGUUUAGAGUAAUCAUUGCUGGCGUAAACGUGGUGUUUAGGCUGGGGUACUCAUAGAUAUUCCCUGACUAGCUGGACCGUGGUAGUAGUGAGGAACGUGACAAUUCCGAGUGACCUUUGCAGAUCACAUCUCGUUAGCAGGAAGGAUAGGGUUUAUAGGUGCGGGUUGAACAUCCUUUGUGGUGUCUAGAUUCCGUUAGCCUCCCCAUUAGAACAGUAGAUCAUCCUUACCAAGGUUAGAAGGAGACUACGGUUGCAGUCUUCUCUAUUUAUCACUCACAUCGAAAGACAUUCUUUGUGCCUAAAGGGUUAGUAGUAAUAGACCGGUUAGUCAGAUGCACUCUUUCUCCUAGUGGUAAAAAAAUAAAUACGAUACUCUGGAUAACCUCCCGGGUGAAGUGCUCACCGAUAUCCGUGCGCUUGCGGAUCAAUUCCUUAUUGCGUUCCCAAAUAUCAACAAGCAUUUCUGGCGCCGUUGCCGGGGAGAAAGACGGUUGCUGAGAUAACCUGAGUCUUACUACUAGCUUUGUAUCUAUACUUUUAUCUUUUAUUAUCUUUUAUAUUCUUUAUUUAUUUUCUUUACUCUUACCUUAUGGAAAACCAAAAUUCUAAAUCGAUCCAUGAAUCUGCAAUCCCUUUAGCAACUGACCUUUUACCAUGGGAAUCAUCACAACCUAUCCAAACAUCCCAGUAUAAGUUAAGUUCUAGGUUGAUUACCAUGAUUCAAAACCUAUCUUUUUCGGGAAACGAAGACGAAAACCCUUACCUUCAUAUUAGAGAUUUUGAGCAAACAUGUGAUUGUCUUCGCAUUGAAGGCAUUUCUGAUAAAACUUUACGUUGGAAGCUUUUUCCUUUUUCCUUAAGGGGAGAAGCUAGACAAUGGUACAGUCAGAAGGUAAGUCAACAACAAGGUGAAUGGGGAGUUUUACGAGCCAACUUUUGUCUAGAUUUCUAUUCCCUUGACCGUAUAGCCGACCUUAGACUCGAAGUCCUAUCUUUUAAACAAAAAGAUAAUGAAACUUUGGGAAAAUCCUGGAAACAUUUUUCUGAUCUUUUAGAAUCUGGUCCAAACCUUAAUCUUGAAGACCCUGUUCUUUUAUUUCACUUUUUUCGAGGUCUUCAGAAAAAUCACAAACAAAUGCUACACACAAUGUCUAGAGGUUCUUUCUUUCGCAUCCCUACUGAUGAAGCUAGAGUGAUCCUAGAUAGAAUCCUAGAAGCUGAGAUGGAUAAUACCCUUCAUGAUGAAACCUACGAAGACGAAGUAGACACUCUGCCAAAUUCUUCAUCUACUUUAGCUAUCCCAAGUUCUGAGCCACAAGAGGAAGAAAUUCCACCACCGGACUUCAUGCAGGAUAUAGAAUCCGAUCUUUUUGCUGAUUUUGGAAACAUUUCAAACUACCAUUCUAUUGACAAACCCCAAAACGGCCAGUUUAGCAUUUAUUUGCCAAGUGAAUAUCAAUUGAGAGAGCUUAUCUCAGUAAUGAGUAGCGAAUGGUUGGAGGAAUCAGAGCUUUCCUCUGAUGUGAUCCAUUUGGACACACCCUCUAUAACUAUACGUUAUGCUUAUAAUUCUGAUCGAUUUAAUGCUCUUUAUAAUCCUGUUGUGGGGAUAAAUAUCAUGUCCGAAUCUUUUGCACUUAAACUAUUUAAAAAUCUUGUCUUAACCCCCACAACAAAGGUCAUAAAGGACUCUUCGGGACGAUUAGUCCCCAGUCUUGGAAUUAUUAAUGUCCUACCUCUUACGGUAGAAGGCUCCAUGGUUCAUUUGAACUUCUAUAUCUUUGAUACAUGGGACUUCGACCUGUUGAUAGGACAACCUUUUCGAAGACUCCUUUAUGAAGGUCAUACUGGAAAGCUACACAUUUCUUUUAGAAAAACUUUUAAAUUCCCAAUAACAAUUGCACACUCCUUAAACAAUAAGGCCGAGUCAUAUCUUUUGCCUGAUCCUAUGGAGGAGGUAAAGGCUGCAUCUCUAGAGCUUUUAGAAGAACUAGACUUAGAAGACGAAACUCCUUUCUUCACAGAAGAAGAAGACGAACCUUCUGAGCCUGAACCCUUAGAUGAGUUUGCAGAAACACCUAGACCCCCCAUAGAGCUUAAAACUUUACCACCCGGUCUUACAUAUGCUUUCCUAAACAAUAAUCCAGAGUUCCCUGUAAUCAUUAGCGAUAAACUCACUCAGGAUCAAACUCUACGAUUAAUGACCAUUCUUGAGAAACAUCACUCAGUUUUCGGCUACUCACUCCAAGAUCUUACAGGAAUUAGUCCUAUGAUUUGUACCCAUCGUAUUCCAACAGAUCCUUCUGUUUCACCCUCUCGAGAACCCCAACGCAGACUUAAUAACACUAUGAGAGAGGUAGUUAAAAAGGAAGUUAUAAAGUUGCUGCAUGCAUGGAUUAUAUAUCCUGCGCCGGACAGUGAGUGGGUAAGCCCAGUGCAAGUUGUGCCUAAAAAGGGAGGCAUGACUGUUAUUAUGAAUGAACAGAACGAGCUAAUUCCGCAACGCACCGUCAUAGGAUGGCGGAUGUGCAUAGACUAUAGAAAACUAAACAAAGCCACGAGAAAAGAUCACUUUCCUUUACCUUUUAUAGAUGAGAUGCUAGAGUGGUUAGCAAACCAUUCGUUCUUCUGUUUCUUAGAUGGAUAUUCAAGAUAUCACCAAAUCCCGAUCCAUCCUGAUGAUCAAAGCAAAACCACUUUUAUAUGCCCAUAUGGAACUUAUGCUUACCGUAGAAUGUCUUUUGGGUUAUGUAAUGCACCAGCUUCUUUUCAAAGAUGCAUGAUGUCUAUAUUUUCUGAUAUGAUUGAAGAGAUUAUGGAAGUUUUCAUGGAUGAUUUCUCUGUUUAUGGAAAAACUUUUGAUAGUUGUCUUGAAAACUUAGACAAGGUUUUGCAAAUAUGUGAAGAAAAGCACUUAAUCCUUAAUUGGGAAAAAUGUCAUUUUAUGGUUAGGGAAGGAAUAGUGCUGGGACACCUAGUGUCUGAAAGAGGUAUUGAGGUAGACAAAGCUAAAAUUGAAGUAAUUGAACAACUACCUCCACCUGUGAACAUAAAAGGAAUUCGAAGCUUUCUUGGCCAUGCUGGUUUUUAUCGUAGAUUCAUAAAAGAUUUUUCAUUCAUUGCUAGACCACUUACUCUUUUGCUAGCCAAGGAUGCUCCUUUCGAAUUUGAUGAUGCAUGUCUAACAUCUUUCAAUUUAUUAAAGAAAGCACUCAUCUCUGCACCAAUCAUUCAACCCCCUGAUUGGUCGUUGCCUUUUGAAAUUAUGUGUGAUGCUAGUGAUUAUGUUGUGGGGGCAGUUUUGGGACAAACUAAAAAUAAGAAGCAUCAUGCAAUUGCUUAUGCCAGUAAAACUUUGACAGGAGCUCAACUUAAUUAUGCAACCACUGAAAAAGAGCUUCUGGCUGUUGUCUUUGCCAUUGAUAAAUUUAGAUCUUAUUUAGUUGGAGCUAAAAUAAUUGUUUACACUGAUCAUGCUGCACUAAAAUAUUUGCUCACUAAAAAAGAUGCUAAACCUCGCCUGAUUAGAUGGAUCUUAUUAUUCCAAGAAUUUGACUUAGAAAUAAAAGAUAAAAAAGGAGUAGAAAAUUCUGUUGCUGAUCACUUGUCUAGAAUGUAUUUUAAGAGUCCACAGGAAACCCCCAUCAAUGAUUCACUCCGGGACGACAUGCUCUACGGGAUUAACAGGUCUGACCCCUGGUAUGUAGAUAUUGUUAAUUUUAUGGUUUCAGGGUAUGUACCACCAGGAGCAAACAAGAAGAAGCUUAUUCAAGAAAGUCGUUCGCAUAUAUGGGAUGAGCCAUACCUCUUCCGAGUAUGCUCUGAUGGCUUACUCAGGAGAUGUGUGACCACUGAGGAAGGAUGGAAGAUCAUCGACAGAUGUCAUUCAUCACCAUAUGGAGGUCACUAUGGAGCAUUCCGUACACAUUCAAAGAUCUGGCAGUGUGCAUUCUACUGGCCUAUAAUGUAUGAAGACACAAAGCAAUAUAUCAGAAGAUGUGGGCCAUGUCAAAGACACGGAAACAUAAAUACAAGGGAUGCAAUGCCACUCACCAACAACCUUCAGAUUGAGCUCUUUGAUGUCUAGGGAAUAGACUACAUGGGUCCAUUUCCUCCAUCAAAGAAGUGCGAGUAUAUCUUGGUGGCAGUUGACUAUGUCUCCAAGUGGGUAGAAGCAAUACCUUGCAAGCAUGCCAACAACGUCAGUUCAAAGAGGAUGUUUGAAGAAAUUAUAUUCCCAAGAUUUGGAGUCCCCAGAGUAGUGAUAAGUGAUGGAGGAGCACACUUCAUCGACAAACGCUUCAAGCAAUAUCUAUCAAAACAUGGAAUCCGUCACAACGUCGCUACCCCUUAUCAUCCUCAGACAAGUGGCCAAGCAGAGACUUCCAACAAACAAAUCAAGAAUAUUCUUCAGAAGACAGUAAAUGAAAUGGGAACGGCGUGGAAAGACAAGUUACCCGAUGCACUUUGGCAUACCGGACAGCAUACAAGACCCCAAUCGGGAUGUCUCCAUACCAAUUGGUGUAUGGGAAGACUUGUCAUCUACCUGUUGAACUAGAGUUCAAAGCACACAGGGCCAUAAAGAGAUGGAAUAUGUACCUAGAUGUUGCUGGAGAUUAUAGAAGAAUGCAACUAUGAGAAUUGGAAGAAUGGCGAGAGAAAGCAUAUCAUAAUUCAAAGAUCCACAGAGGGGCCAGAGAGAGGGCGGGCGCCCAGCUCCUGUUCCCCCUCGGUCCCGAUUUUCUCUGUUAUGGAAAAUGCACUUAUGGUAAUUCAAAUAAUCCCUCGGAUGGAAAGUUUCGCACGCACAUCGACGGGAGCAACCCGAACAACCCAUAGAGGCAUCUUUUGACCCCUAUAUAAACAGACCCCUGACCUCAGUUUUCAAACACCAAGCCACUAAGCCUUCUCUCCUUCAAUUAGAGCUUGAUUAGUUCCUUGCUGCUCCAAUGGCCGAGAAGUACCACGAUGAUUGGGAAGUCGUCCCCUUCAACCUCAACAUGGAGCCUGUGGAAGACUCCGAUGCCCGUGCUCUCGUCCCGGCCAACACAGAGCGACAGCUAGAAGCCAUACCAUUACGCCAACGCAGCUCCGCCCAAUCCUACCAUGCUCAACCAGUUCUCACCGCACCACCACAACCCCUACUCCUCAAAGGAUCAUCAUCCAAGAUGAAGACCACUAUCAAGGUGCCAACCGGCACAAGGAUCCUUCCACCUAGACCCAAUGAGAGGGUCGUUGGAGUCAAGACCAACCGGAGCGGCGAGAUCAGCAGUGUACGCUACACUACGGAGGAGGAAAGGCCUUACUUUGAAGGGAUUCGAGCAGCCAAAGUCUGUUUCAUCCCUCCAAAGGCAGCCCCGAAGCACGCUCUCAAUGCUUUUGAGACACCUCCCAAGCGUCGCAAGACUAUAGUAGACAUUGAUGAGGACGUUCGCAGGCUAGACAGAGUUAUCAUAGAUCUCCAGUCCUCGAUUAAUUCCCUCACUAGGCAGCUCUCUAACCAUAACACUAUUAUACUAGGCCUUAGGCAGGAUCUUGCCAGUGCCAACAAGAAGAUUAGGGAAUUAGAGCGCCGCUAAGUUAUCUAGAUUAGACCUUGAGGCAAUACAUCUUAGUUAUCUAUCUUUAAAUUCGGUUUAGGUUUACUAUUAUUAUCAGUUUGCUAUCAGCUACUAGUCUUUUGUAAUAAAUGCCUCAAGAUUAAUAAAGAGUAUUAUUAUUAUUAUUAUGUCUUGUGUGUCUCUAUAUUUUUGUGCAAGAAAGCAAAAAACAAGUAUGGGGGAGAUCCCUCGACACGCUAAACACACUCCGACUACACCACUCCACGAUUUAGGUACACACUCUGCACACUUUACUGUACACAUACAAAUAUCUUGAUUAUGCAGAUUACUGUUUCUAACUUGAUAAAAUAAAAAGAUUAAAAUAUUUCUAAUCAUGAUUAAUCUCAAUCUGCUAUAUUUCCUGAAAACUUGCAAUUAUGGAAAAUCAUUUUAAAACCCUGUGUUACUUAAGUCAUUAAGGAAUAUGUGAUGGUAGAGUAUGAGUUUCUUAUUCUUGAUACCAUUGUUGCUUGGAGAAUUUAUUUCAAAAUAUUCAAAACUCUAGCUACCAUCCUCAGUGUUUUAUAUGCCUGAUAAAACUGAAAAUAUUAAUUAUAAUUAUAAAAGCUAUCUACUCUGUAUUGAGUUUGUUCAAAAUGAGUUAGACCCUUGUCGAGAGAUUUAUCAUGCUCCUAAGAUCAAGACAUUUAUUCAGAAAGAUUCACUCUUCCGAAGUAUUAUUGCAUUAGAGGCAUGGGCUAUGCAAAAAAUAGAGAUAAUUCGAGGAAAUAAAAAGGAGCAAGUGCUCGACAACCUCGUAGAAAAAAAUGGACAAGUGUCCGGCAGUAGAAUUAUCUGUACCUCGGUAUCCAUUUAAAAAAAAGAAAAGAGAAAAUGAUAGCCCAUGGUCCCUCUAAUAAGCAAUAUGCCAGCAAGAGUUGACAAAGAUUUUAAUUUCCAAAGUCUUUGAUCUAAGAGUAUGACAUUCCCCUCCUCGGAUCCCGUUUUGAUCAGGCAAUAAAUGCAAAGUGAGUAUGCUUGAGAACUUUUUGCAAAAUAAAACAACCUCAGUGAGAUAUAUAAAAGAUAAUGAGUGAUCUGAGAGAACCUAUGAGGAUAAAAAGGUAUGCUAACUUUCUUUCAAAAAUAUACAAACAACUCCAAGUGACAGGAUUGAGAAGAAAGGAUCUUUACUCUUAACCAUAAACAUCCCUGACUAUGGUACACAGUGGAUUUUUAGCACCCUGCAAAUAUAAAGAAUGUUUUAAAUGUUUACCCCAGAUAUUGUUCUUAACCAUCCUUUUCUCGAGGACGAGUAAAAGCCUAAGUAUGGGGGUAUUUGUUGACGGUUCUUAAGUAUCAAUUUUAAUUAUCAAAUAAAUAAGAGAAAGGACCAAUAUGCAAACAGCACCUAGAAUUAGGGUUUGAUCUGACGGAAUUCCACGAGUUUUGUUGUUUACCUAUUUCUGCAGGGGGUUAUCAGGAAAUAAGGAAGAAAGGCCCACAUGUCGGGAUUACAUAGAGAUAUCAACGCACCGCGCGAUUUUCUACCAUCUAGAAGACUCCAGAAGCCACGGGAAGAAGACGGAGGCCGAAAGGGGCCAGGCCCAGGGCGCCCGCCCUGGUGACCUGGGCGCCCGCCCCCUCCUGGAUUGCAUUCAGGACUCUCUUCGCACGGGAUGUUCCACCGACCUAUUGGAUCAAGAAAAACAUAGUACCACCUCGCCUACCGACCCAAAAACGCAUAGAGGAGGAGGACUAUAUAAGGAGAUCCCCCUGGCCCCUGGAGAAGACAUGAAGAAAUUAUCAUAGAGACUGAGGGGUGCCCUCGAAGGAAAACCUCUUCUCUAAUUAAUAUUUCUUUUUUAGGCUUAGCAACCAAUGUAAGGUAGAAAUAGAUCUUCUAGUUUCUACUAGAUUGAGAGAGAUAGAGUGGAGGUGUAGAUUGGAGGAAGCCCGGCAUGUCGGUGUCUACUCCAGGCUUGUACCUGCGGGAUGAAGUUCUCCUAACCCGAAGCUUGCUCCUAGGAUUCUUCAGUAUUUCAACUUCUAAAUUCUAGUAAGUUCUUGUUUUAUUGUUCUUCUAGUUUAUGAGUUUACUUUAAUCUCUUCGUGUAGAGUUUAGAGUAAUCAUUGCUGGCGUAAACGUGGUGUUUAGGCUGGGGUACUCAUAGAUAUUCCCUGAGUAGCUGGACCGUGGUAGUAGUGAGGAACGUGACAAUUCUGAGUUACCUUUGCAGAUCACAUCUCGUUAGCAGGAAGGAUAGGGUUUAUAGGUGCGGGUUGAACAUCCUUUGUGGUGUCUAGAUUCCGUUAGCCUCCCCAUUAGAACAGUAGAUCAUCCUUACCAAGGUUACAAGGAGACUACGGUUGCAGUUUUCUCUAUUUAUCACUCACAUCGAAAGACAUUCUUUGUGCCUAAAGGGUUAGUAGUAAUAGACCGGUUAGUCAGAUGCACUCUUUCUCCUAGUGGUAAAAAAAUAAAUACGAUACUCUGGAUAACCUCCCGGGUGAAGUGCUCACCGAUAUCUGUGCGCUUGCGGAUCAAUUCCUUAUUGCGUUCCCAAAUAUCAACAAGGUCGACGGGCCUCGGGCGAAAGGGUAAAUCAUGACUCAUGGGUAAAGAUGUACAACCUCUGCUGAGUGUUAAAACUGGUAUACUAGCCGUGCAUACAGUCAAGAGUGGCCUUGGGGAUUCUUGCAUUAAGGGUCAUGACUCUAGUUGUAUUAAAAUACUUAUUAUUUAUUGUUUUAUGCUCUACAUUAUUUAUGUCACAUUGAUCAUGAGGUUGUGGGAGCUAUACAAUCUAGUUGCUAUACUUGUGGAGUUCGACAUGGACUCACUCUUGCUAUUUCUCCCAAACUCCAGGAGGUGUUUUAGGCUUGUGAUCAACCAGUCUGUUUGGAUCCUGUAGAGUGAAGUUAAUACCCGAAGUUUGGCGUUGUCUAUCCGCUGUUUGCUAUCAAAGGUUAUAUCUUUUAUUUUAAGUACAUUAUAUUUAUACAUUGUCUUUUGAUAUUACACCUUAUUUGUAGCUAUAUGUGAGAUUUGGCUUUUAAAACUCACAUGUAGUGUAUAUCUGGUUUUGUCCUUAAAAUCGGGUAUUAAAAUCGGGUAUAACAGGUGGCAAGAUGCACUUUCUGCAGAUGUGCCUAAAAGCUCCAGUGACCUCACUGUGAGGUUUUCGGUGACUACCACAUAGAUUAGUCGUUGCUGAUUGUUGGGCCUUUCUACGGUGCCAUCACUUGAGAUUUCUAGUGGCCUUCAAACCUUUUGUAGAAAUGCUAAGGAGUGACACUUCUUUGGUGCUUCACCCUAAAAUACAUAGGAGAACUCCGCUAAACAAUAAAACCUUAUGCAAAACCAUCUUUGCCCGACCCUAUUCUCUAGUGAUCAAUCGAAGCACCAGACAUUUCUAAUGUAUACUUUGACAUUGUCUAUCUUCUAAUGAAUCAACCUCCUCUAUUGAUCCUCUCUAGUAUAUAAUGGACCUUUCUGGUGCAUGUUGUGGAUCAUGUUUCAACUUUUUUUGUCUUCUUUUUUGAGAUUCUACCACUUGUUGUCUUGAACUUCUAGCAUGUCUUCUAUGAUCUUCAACAAUACUCCUUGGUCUUCCUUGAGGUGUUGACUAGUUGAUAUUCAUGUUUUCUUUGUCUAAUCCAUAUUUUUAUCCAAAUGAACUAAAUACCUUGUGUACUAGCAAACAACAUUAGUCUAUUUGAUCAUGUUGUCAACAAACCACCAAAAUCAUAUAUGGCUCUUACUAGGUGCUAUUUUUCAUACAAUCUCUACCUUUUUGGUGAUUAAUGACAGCACAACCAAAGCUAGAAAAAUAAUAGAUACCAAAAUUAAAACCUAUCUACUUGUUUGGAUGCAAUGCAAGGGCAAGAUACAAAUUGAAAGAAAAAUAUAACACCCUAGCUCAUUAGUAGCCUGUAGUAGUAUAGUGAAGUUGGCUCAUGUGGCCCAAGUGGCUCAUGUGUGGUUGUGGUUGGUGAGUUUAGUAUCACCUUGGAAGUUUAGGAGGCUGAAAGCUAGCAUAUAAGCUUUGUCGUUGCAAACGUAGCACCUCCGGGUUAACCCUUUUACAUGAAGUGAGGACAAAAGUGUAAGCGAGAUGUUAUGUCUAUGCAGGCUUGUUCCACAUGCAGAGCUGAGCCAUAUAGGUGUUACAGAUGGUAUUCGAAGCAUCAAUCCUUGCUGCAUGUGCCCACAGAGGGGUAUACCAAGGGGUGGUUCUCGACAUUUUCAAUAUAUAUAUGUGGUGAGAUGUCGAAGGCGUCAGCCCUUAGGGGGAGUGUGAAUGUAACACCCCAACCCAUUAGUAGCAUGUAGUAGUAGUGAAGUUGGCCCAUAUGGCCGAAGUGUGAUUCUGGUUGAUGUGUUUAGUACCACCUUGGAAGUUUAGGAGGCUGAGGACCAGCUUAUAAGCCUUGUCGUUCCAAACAUAGCAUCUCCAGGUUAACCCUUUUAUAUGAAGUGAGGACAAAAAUAUAAGCGAGGUGCUAUGCGUAUGUAAGCCUGUUCCACAUGGAGCUAGACCAUAUAAGCAGUUUUGGACGCAGGGUGUUACAAAAAAGGAUGAAUGAAUGAUACUAAAUGAAUACCUUAUUCUGCUCUUACCAUUUAAAAUGCCCUUUGUGUAGCAUUAUGUACUUAAGCUCCGCUAACUCCGUAAUCCACUCCUCAUUUUAUAGGACAAAUUCUCCCCCUUAUUUAAAUUCUCACCAACAAAAUACCACAAAAUUGUAGAAAUUGUUUUUGGUAUUUAUUUUUGUUGUGCUUGCUUUUGUCUUCAAAUUCUUUGCCUUCUAAAGGAAACACCAAAAAGGAAGACAUUAGUAGCAUAAGGAAAGAUGAUUCUUUUGUGAUCCUUUAGAUGAGAAGUCCAAUUUAUCAUGAAACUUGACUCCCACAUUACAUAGACUAAGAUCCCUCUAAGUGUAUGCAUACAUAUGGUUGAUGACAAAGAGUAUGCAUAAACUAGCAAUGAAGCAAAAAGGGAGUUCAAUUUAUCUAAUGCAUGGAGAAAGCAUAUAAGAGAUGCCAAUUGAAAACACAAAAAAUUGAUACUAAUUAAAGGUAGUACCAAUUGAAGCAUUCUAACUAAGGUUGAUACCACUUGAAAAAUAUGUCAUAUAUCCAUGGUUAUCUCUGGGAAAUCCUUUUUUCUUGCAAAGAUACUACACAUAUGAUAGUUUUGAAAAAGUUGUUCAUCUCAAAGAUCACAAAUUAUAUAAUGACAAAAUGGAUCUCUAGGUACAUGGCUAGAGGGGGGCAUCGAUGCCCUCGUGGCUGCCCAGUUUCAACAUAAAUGAGGACUUUUUAUGAGGGCCAGCGAUGACUUCAUGGCUGCCUCACAUUGUCAGACUAGCCGUGAUCUAAUGGAGGAUCGAAUAUGUCGCUCUCAUGAUCAACCACUAGACCAUUUCAUGAGGUCAAACUAAAUUCGCAAAAGUUGAUGUAUAUAGUUGUCCUAAGCUUGAGUCAUUUUAGAGGCCUUAACACUUCAAAGAUAUAUGACUACUCAUUUGUUUCGUACGUGGAGCACACUGCUGAAGGUUAAAGAGAUAUGUGGCCCCAUUAUUGCCAAGGAGGAUAAGGCUAAGAUCUUGGCUCUAGAGGCGAUGCCACUUAAAUCAGGUCUUCAAUGCUCUUGGGAUCUCUAUCAAGAUUGAGACUUUAACCUGAAAUCCGCUCUGAGGGAAGAAGAAGCUCGACCCGAAUUGGGUGGAGGGAGAGGUUGCGUGCCCUUUGGCGAGGUCUCUAAAAAGCAAGGUCAAGUUGCUCGUAAGAGAGCUAGUGGGAGGCGACAAAGAUUGAAGCAUAAAAGGAGAAAUAGCAUUGACGACCAUUGUUAAAAUGGAGUUUCUCAUUAUUACCUAGGAUAGCGAUGAUGAUCCAGUUAGCCCCACCCCUUUAAUUAGUCUAGUGAUUGGUGUUGUUAUGUACGAAAUUUUUUUUGAUGAUUUUAAUUUUUUCACAACUGAACAAUAAUACACCUUGUUGCACGGUCAUUUUAAUGACUUUUGAAGAUUUAUAUAUAUAACGACUGCAGUAAUGCAUGUUGUUCAAAGCGUGUGGUCUCAUAAUAAAAGAAAGAAACCAGUUCACACAUACUCCCUCCCUUACAUUGAAAGUGACGUUUUGGACUAUGUGACAUCUUGGUUGUCAGUUCGUCGUAUUCAAAAUUUAUAUAAAUAUUAAUUAUUUUGUUAUGACAUAUUUAUCAUUAGAGAUACUUUAAUAAUAAUUUAUUUAUUUUAUAAUUUAUAAAAUAAAUUAAAUAAAAUGAAUAGUCAAAUACAGUAUUGAAAAGUCAAAAAUGAUAUUUUUAAUAGGACGGAGGGGAGUAGUAUCAUGCAAUGGAGCGGCGAGGAUCGUGGCAUUCGUGCUGAGGGGGGGUCCUACGCGUGUGCAGUGUGCCCAAAAACGCACAAGGUAGCCCACAGUUGCACGCUUUUGCCACGUUAUGUUUCCACGUGGCGAUCUCAUGAGGAUACCAACUCAACAUCUCCCCUGCCUCUCUUAUCGAAUCAUGCAAGUUCUUUGAACCAGAGAAUGAUCGGAUGCAUGGAUUGGGGAGGAAGAACAGGAACCGACAGUGCACCACGUCAUCAGCACUCUUAUUACAUGGGACAAGCAGCGCAGCUACCACUUUUAAUUAUGAGUUUUGAAACUUACGGAGAAAAUGUGAUGGUGAUGCGCCUCACAAAUUUGACCAGGUCACAAAAGUUCACUCCGGUGCAGCUGGCGCACACACGCGCUUGCUGGCCGCAUAUCCUGCGGCUGCUUCUCCUCCCCUCCUCACCUAUAAAUACAUGGCCAAGCAGCGCUCAUCACAUUCUCAUUGCAAAACACACAAACACAUUCAUCUCUCACAACACAUAGCACCAGCAGAAACUAGCUAGGUAGUCUCUCGAUAUAUAGCUAGCUUAUUAGUAGCAAGGUGCAAGGCUCUCUUUCGGAGAUUGUUCUCUCAUGGCUUCCUCACAUAAAAUUGUGUUCGUGCUCCUUUUGUUGAUAGCGUCUUCGUCCAUGCUAGAAGCUAGGGUGGUGCGAAGUGACCGCCGCCGGCAUGCACGAGCAGAUCAAGCACACGUCAAGGAGAGCGUACCGAACCCUUCCCAAGACGUGAUGGCAUCGCUGAUGCCACCCGCACCGCCUGCAUGCCAGUGCCAACAAGACUGAGAUCGCCGUCGCCAAGCGUUGGGGGACGACGCAGGCCGACGGGUCGGUGCCAAGCCCAGGCAUAGGCCAUCAGCAAAUAUUACAAUAAUCUGCGCAAGCAAAUGUCUCUCUAUAUAUACAUAUAUAGAUACAAAAUAAAGCUAGGUGUACCUAAGCUAGGACCUAGCCAUAUUAUUGUGGAAUUAUAUAUGCAUAUAUGCCAAAAGCAAAGCAUGCCUAGCUAUGUAUAUCAUCAGUAUAUGCAUGUAAGUUUUUUAGUCAUAUGUGAAAUGGACUAUAUAUCGUCAUUUCCUAAUAACAUAGAUUCUCAUGGCAUACAUGUAGUACAAGUAUAUAACUCAUAAGAAUGGUGAAGUGACGAUGAGUGCCAAUUAUAAUGUCGUUAGGGUGCCUAGAGAUCCUUAUUACCACGGUUCUAAGGUGUUGCAUUGAAUUCCAUAGACAGAUGUUUCUAGUAUCGUUGGAAUUAUGUGUGUGUUUCUUGUAAAAAAAAGUCUCCUCUUCUACCCUAUGACCACCUUCAAGAAAAUGAGCAGAUGAGAUCCCGACAUUAAUAAAGUCACAAUAGGGGUUUCGUCAGCAAGACUGAGGUUUUUUUUGUUUUUUCCUUUUAAGAACAUUAUAACUUUUGGUCUUUUUAUUUUUUUUCCUGUUUCACAUGGCAAAACUUUCACCAUGCAUGGGUAGGCAUAAACCCAUGAUCCUACUCUCAUUCCCUUGGCUCUACACGCUUCCCUAGCACAUUUGUGCAACCCAGUCUUUUCAUAAUCGUAGAUGAUAAAAGAAAAUCACAACAUGAUCCAAGCAAUUGUUUGAUUAUACAUGGUGGAAAAGAAAUUUGGGUACUUUUCGCGAUUAAGAAGAAUUGCUAGUGAACUAGAAAUGACUUGAAGAAUGAACACUAGAAUAUAUGCUUUACUAAAACAUGAUCUCAGGAGUCAUCUAGUUAAACUAGAUGAAUACCCUGUGUGUUGUUGCAGAAAUUUAAGUUAGAAGAUUUUAUGUUGUGUAACCAUAGAUGUUGUAUCUCUCUUUGAGCUCUCUUGUCAUUUUGUUGUAUUUACUUUCUCUGGUGAGAUGUUUGGCAUUUUGCCACACAUUGCACUCUUUGGCCUCUUCAUCUUCCUCGUCAUUCGCAACCACCACGAAAACCUCAGGCUCCUCUCCCGUGCGCCACGCCUAGCUUACUCAAAGUUGAGGUGUUCACUAGCACAGAAAUUUUAAUGAAGGCGAUCAUUUUCGACGAAUGGAGGUGGGCUUCGCAACCGCCUCCAAUGGAAGGCCUCGGCUAAUACACAAUAUAGACCAUGGAGGCGGGCGCUUUGGCCACCUCGAUUAAUAAAUACAAAAAACAAAAAAAGAGAAUACCAUCCACAUGCCCGUUGAGCCCAUCCAUAGGCCCACCAAACCCAUCCACAAGUGGUGGCCGCUGCUCGCCGGAUGUGCAGCCCCACUUGUUGGAUCCACACCGUGGAAAGCUAGAUCUACCAUAGAAGAGAGAGAGAGAGAGAGAGAGAGAGAGAGAGAGAGAGGAAGGGCAUGGGAGAGGAGCCGCCCCUGCCCAGAGAGGGCUUCGUCGCGCACUGUGGAUCCAAGCCUUGGAGGUCGUGCUCCAAAUCUACACUGAAAAAGGAGGGCUUGCUAAUCACAUGCUGUAGCGGAGGAGGGAGAGACUGGCCUGCCGCUAAAUCUAUGCCGGAAAAGGAGGGGUCCACUCCCAGUGUGCCACAGCAGAGGAGGCAGGGGUUGGCUUCUGCGAGCAGCACCAGAGGAGGAAGGGAUUGGGGCAUCGCCAAACCUACACCAGAGAAGAAGGGGCCACUCCCAGCAUACCAUGAUGGAGGAGGCAAGGGCCAACCCCUAGGAGCAGCGCUGGAGGAGGAGGAGCUGGGACACAGCCAGAUCCACGCCGAAUGAGGAGGGGGCUGGCCCCUGUUGAUAUUUGGUAACGCAAUAAGGAAAUGAUCCGCAAGCUCACGGAUAUCGGUGAGCAUUUCACCCGGGAGGUUAUCUAGAGUUAUCGUAUUUGUUGGUGCAAAAGCUGAUCUGCAAACACAAAGGGCUAAUACCCGAUUCAAACGUUAAAGCGUGCCAGCCGAUUUGACCUUACUAUCGGCAAGGAUGGUAACUCGAAUACUUUGGUCCCGACAACAGCGAUGCGCCCAGAUGUCACGGCCAAGAGGUAUUCACGCGAAACUUGAGAACGCACGGAGUUUAAGUCGACGAAUUCCUAAGAACUCGUAGUAAAAAGGAAAAAGUAUGACGAAGUCGUCGAAAUAGUAGAUGCUAGAAUAUGAGUAAAAACUGGUGUUUGAUUGAUUGAUAGAUCCCUCAUUACAAGGCCCUAGGGUCUACAUUUAUACCCUGCCCAAAGAGCUACAACCAGACACGACUAGAAUUCGAAUUCCAAAUUUGAACAGAAUCCGUGUACAAAACAAUCUAAAUAACUAAGGAAAACGUAAAACUAUCCUCACGGGACACACCAGAACAUCCCCACCAGCCGAUCGGCAACUUCGAGACUCCUCCUCCGUACCAUCGGCAGACUCCUUCAUUAUAGCCAUCGGCACAAACACAUCAUCACCUAUGGACUUGGUCACGUUCAACCACCCUUCCAUCGACAACCAUCUUCAUCGGCAACUCUCCCUGUAGAUCAAACACCACCGUCUUAUCUUGCCGAUCUACACUUUACCGGUCAUGGACACGUGCCCAAAAACGGUGUCAACACAUGCCCCCCAAUUUCGGAGUAUGAAAUCAUUAAUGCUCCGAAAUUCUCUGCAGUAAUAAUGCCUUUUUCCGCAAUUAAUGCUCCCAAUCUGGUAACCGACAGCCUUAAUCUGAACAACUCUGAUUUGAUUCUUCCGCAGCCUCCUCGAAAUCCUCAGUUUCCCAAACGGACAUUUCCAUUUUAGUCGUAUAUCAGCAAUACUACCGUUACAGGGACUUGCCGAUGGACUGACCAGGACGCCCAUAUCUUAUCUUUCCAAACGGCUAUCUCCACUUUAUCCGCCCAUCGGCAAUAUGACCGUUACAAGGCGCUGCCGAUGGACCGACCAGGAGAUCCCGCACAGUAAAGUAUCUCUGGAUAACGACCGCUUCCUGUCCAAUCACCUGCACAAUCCCUUGAUUACCGUGCGAAUAGUUGCCAAAUCUACCUGAGUACCCUCGGAUUUCACGGAUACGGCGAAGAGAUAGGUCAAUUUUGCCCCUGCCCGUUUUGUCCUAUAAAUAGUUCCUUCUCGGGUACUCCUUCUCCAUCACAUCAUUCCACAACCCCAACUUUACUUUCCCAGCGGCGGCGCUACUCAAGGUCUCUGAGAUCUCCGACGAAGUCCCUUCUUCACCAACUCCGAAGUCCUUUGAUCAUCCUCCCCGUGGCAAGAUGGCCGUCAACUUCAUCGUUCCUGAGGUUAAUUCUUCAUUCCAUCUCCUGUACUUUACUCGCACCCCUGUUUAUCCGUAAUCCAUCUUACUGAAUAUAUUUUUUUUCUUAUUUCUCCUCCCCCCCUUUUUUUUAAAAAUCAUUAGGAUUUGGCCAACAAAAUUGUCAUUCCCACCGAUCAACCACAUCUCCAAUGCCUUGGCCCGUUAGGGGAUCCAGAUCCAACCGAUCUCAUUAACGCAGAAACCAACAGGAUUCCUUUUAGAGCCGAAAACUUUUCUUUGGAUCUGUGGAAGGACACUUUCCGUUCUUGGCCCAGCCCUACUGUAGGAUGGACAGAUUGGUUUUUGAGAGUCAGCAACUCAAAUGAGGUCCAGUGGGGUGAGAGAAAACUAGACCAAUGCAUUAGGCUGUCUAUUGCCGAUAUGCACAGAAAUGAGUCAUUGCUGAUAGCUGCAUCAUACUUCUGGUCAGACACGCUCAAUGCCUUUGUCUUUGGCCAUGGCCCUGCUUCCCCUACGCUUGCUGAUGUAGCCAUGCUCACUGGCCUAGAUGUAUCUUCUGCCGAUAGUACUCACUUCUUUGAUACCAAACCCAGUGCUAAGGUAGAAACUCGCUCCAUCGGCGGUUGGUCAGGAUAUAUUCAAAAGUACAGACGAACAGGCUCUGUCAACAUAAAAGAGCAGACCAGUUUCCUGAACAUGUGGCUAGAUAAAUUUGUGUUUUGCGGCCGAUUGGCAGGACCAACUUCCAUUUAUCUGGCAGCAGCAGAGAAUUUGGCUAAUGGUGGCCGAUUUCCCCUCGCCCGAUACCUGCUUGGUGCAGCCUACCACCUCCUUCACCAAGUGACUAGGAAACUCUUACUCGGUUAGUCUAUCGGCAACUUAGGAGGUCCCUGGUGGUUCAUCAACAUGUGGCUCAACCUCCAUCUGCACAAACGCCUUGAGUUUGACCUCUUCGCGCAGCGUUUUCCAAGGGACAUAGCCGAGAAUCAUGAACUGGAUGAAGAAGAAUCGGCAACACGCCCUCCCCUGAAUUUUGGUGAAGCCAUCAUAGUUCUCCCUGGCUCAGGGGGCAAUGCAGAUCAGGUCAGCCGAUUCUUUCAAACCUUGUAUGAAGGCUUGACCAGAGAUGAGCGAGCAUGGUUAGCUUAUGACGAUCUAGACAGUAUGUUUCCUCUGGUUUUCAACCCGUUCAAUGACGCCCUUGACACGGAUCACGAAGUGAAGAUGGCACUGAUCACCCCCAGAGCUAUACCAGUGAACUUCUUUGGUAGUGGGAAGACCUCCAUCCAGACCUAUGAGUUUUAUAACCCAUCGGCAUUAGCCCGUCAACUAGCUUUCGGCCAGCUGCCGAUCGCACUCUGUUACGCCGAUGUGAUAAAACCCAGGGAAGCCAUCACUAGCCUCCUUGAAUGGAUCCGAGUGGCCCAACUGCCAUCAAGUGCCGAAACAGAUGUAGACCUGUCAGAGUGGGUUCCAGCUGCAUUCAUCACUCAGGCGUACAAGCAAUGGUGGGCAGAAUGGAAGGAACACCUGUUCUGCAGAUCGGCUCUCACGUAUCGCGGCAUGAUCGACCCCGAGUACGAAGUUCCCGAUGGCACUGUAAGCAUCUUCAAACUGAUGUUUCAAUUUUUUUAUUCCUAUUUCCAUCGGUAACUUAUUCUUUGCGUGACUUUUCAGGUCGAUGACACUCCCCCGUCGGUCGCAGGAGUGGCAAGCCGAUUGACCUGUUUCCAUCAGGCCCAAUCUCCUCAAUCGGCAACAACGCUCCCAGCCGGGCCGCCAUCGUGCAUCGAGGAAUACGCCUCAAGAAAGUCACCACCAGGAGAACUCAAACAUCACCAUCAGUAGCCGCUUCCACCCUAGCACAGGCUUUUAAGGUAACUGUUAAACCUCUUCAUUCAUACCGAUCUCCCUUUUCACAUCGGUUAUAUUGGUAUUCACAAACUCUCUUUUCUGUAACAGCAAACCAGUGCAUCGGCAAGAACUAAAAGCCAAGGCGCCGAUGCCCCCCAGUCCAGCCAGCAGAAGCGAAAAGGUGCCAAGAGUACCAGGGUACAGACAAAGCGCUAGAAAGUGGCAACUCCCCCUCCUCCUCCGGUAUCUCCCAUUCCGGUGGAAUCUUCUCCUUCUCCCCCAGAAACAGAGACUCAGCAGGCACCAUCUCCUCCUGAACCGCAAGAAGCACCGCAAGCGGAAGAACCUCAGCAAGAAGAACCUCAAUUAGCAGCACCCCAGCCAGAAGACAUAUCAGCCGAAGUAAGCGAGCAAACUACCGAUCCGGCAGGUUCAAUCAUAUCAUCGGUAGUUUCUUCAAUCCAGACAAGCAUCGUCCCUCCUCAAGGUAAUGCAUUUUUAUAACAUUACUGCCGAUGAACUUAUUCCUUUUUGGUUUUAUAACCCCUUUUGUUAAUUUGCAGCUGACAUAGUUCCAUCGGCAACUCUGGCCGACCAAUCCGUGGCUCCAUCGGCAUCUUCCGGCCAAAGGCGAGAGAUUGCCCUAAAGCAAGUAAGCCAUCCAGUCUCCAUCAGUAUUAUUUGCCGAUGCUUUUACCAUAGAACGACUUACCUUGUUUUCCUUUUUUAGGAGCAGGAUUCUCCCGACAGCCUAUUCUCCUUCGCCAUUGACAUCUCCGAAGACGAAGGUGAGGAAGCAAGCUCCUCCCAGGCAGUUGGGAUCGCAUCGGCAGAGAUCAGGGCUACGCUGGAAGAACUAUCGGCCCUCCUCCAUCAAGACACGGCUCAACUGGUUGAUGACUCUGACCCGGCCAAGGUUUUGUUCAGGACCCUCAGAGGCCAGAUCCCUGCCGAUGCUGAAGAAAUCCUCUUCCAGGCUGCACAUCUGGAAAGUCGUCAGCUGCAGUACCAGAGGGCCGCCCGGCGCCUUGCCGAUAGAGCUGCUCAGACCCGACUUUCUGAGGAGAUGAUGAAAGAGAAGCUCUUGACCGAUGAGAAGCACAAGAACAUCGGCACCUUGAAGUCUUCGGGCGACGCACUGAAGCAGAAGAUCUCCGAUUUAUCGGCCAAGAGAGAAACCUUGUUGGCAGAACUCAAGCAAGUGGAGGACGCCCUAUCACAAGCCCAACAGGAAGAGAGUCAACUACCAGAGACCAUCAAGCUCCUUGAACAAGAACGAAACGCCCAUGGUCGCAAAGCACUGCAGUUGAAGAAGAAGUUGAAGCCGAUAGAAGGCUCUGCCGACGAAGACGUCAAAGAAAUAGAAGCAGCCAACCAGAUCCGUCUGCGCGCUAUAUCGGCCAUCCAAGCGCUGCUAAGUAUGUGAACUCCUCAUCGGCAACACAUCGGCCUCUUCCUGCUUUUCAGCUUUCUUGAUGUUUAGUCUAGCCGAUAGGACUGUUAUCGGCAUCUUUUGCAACAUUAAGUCUGGCUUCAGAUACAUUUCAAUCCAGCCGAUAAGAGUGUUAUCGGCAUUUGAACUUUUAUGCAUCGACCCAUAUACUGGGGUAGUACUUCUUUAGAUAUUUGCCAUUUAAUGCUCUGGGAAAUUUGACUCCUUUGAGAGUUUCCAAAAUGUAGGCAUUACCAGGAGCCGAUCGAUUUAUCCGAUAGGGACCCUCCCAAUUGGGAGACCACUUUCCAAACUUUGAACUUUUAGUCUCGAUCGGUAAAAUUAAUUUCCAUACCAAUUCUCCAUAGGCAAAUUCCUUAGCCUUUACUUUCUUGUCGUAUCAUCUGGCAACUCUUUUCUUAUUCUCUUCUAUACUCAUCAAAGCCCUCAGUCGAUGCCCUGCUAGAUCAUCCAAUUCGUCUGUCAUCAGAGUAGCAUAAUCAUCGGCAGCCAACUGAUCUUGAAAAGACAAUCGCCUAGAUCCAGCCUUAAUUUCCCAAGGCAACACUGCAUCACGUCCAUACACCAACUGAUAAGGCAAAACCUUGGUCGAUCCAUUACAAGCCAUUCGGUAAGACCAUAAAGCUUCGUUUAACAAUGUGUGCCACCGCUUAGGAUUCUCUUCAAUUUUUCGUUUGAUAAGCUUAUUAAUUCCCUUGUUGGAUGCCUCAGCCUGUCCGUUAGCUUGAGCAUAAUAAGGAGAAGAAUUUAACACUUUAAUUCCCAUACCGAUUGCGAAUUCAUCAAAUUCCCCUAAUGUGAACAUAGUACCCUGAUCGGUAGUAAUCGUCUGAGGAAUCCCAAAUCGGUAAAUAAUAUGCUCCUUCACAAAAUCAAUCAUAUUGGCCGAUGUGACUUUCUUCAAAGGAAUAGCUUCAACCCACUUAGUGAAAUAAUCGGUGGCAACUAGAAUAAACUUAUGCCCUUUGCUAGAUGGUGGAUAAAUUUGGCCGAUCAAAUCAAUAGCCUAUCCCCAGAACGGCCAAGGUUUGAUAAUAGGAUUCAUGGCCGAUGCGGGUGCUCUUUGAAUAUUCCCAAAUUUUUGACAUCCUUUGAAAUAUUUAAAGCAAUCUUCAAGUAUGGUCGGCCAGUAAUAUCCAUUCCUGCUAAUCAUCCACUUCAUCUUGAAAGCCGACUGAUGCGCUCCACAUACUCCUUCAUGGAUUUCUCCCAUCAAACUUCUAGCUUCAUCAUCACCCAAGCAUCGGAGAAGAAUCCCAUCAAUAGUUCGGUAGUACAAUUCAUCCUCGAGGAGCACAUACUUAGUGGCUUGAAACCAAACUCGCCUUUCAACUCUCUUAGAUGGAUCCUUCAAAUAAUCAACGAUCUCUUUUCUCCAAUCAUCGGCACCAAUUGCCGAUAUUGCAUCAAUCAUAGGCUGAUAACCCGAAGCAUGCUGAGCCAACCGAUUGGCCUCUUCAUUAUGCAAUCGAGGAACAUACUUUAAUCGGAAACCCCUGAAUUCCUUCAAUAAUUGCAUAUUCCGCUCGUAAUAAGUUAUGAGAACUUCACUUCGGCAUUCAUAGCUUCCAGCCAAUUGAUUUAUAACUAGCAUGGAAUCCCCGAAGACUUCGACAGCAUCAGCAUGAACUUCCCUCAACAACUCUAAUCCUUUUAUUAAAGCUUGAUACUCAGCCUGAUUAUUUGUUGACGUAGCAACAAUCGGCAAGGAAAACUCAUACUUCCUUCCCCGAGGGGAAAUUAAUACUAUACCGAUUCCAGCCCCCGGUCACAUGUAGAUCCAUCAAAGAAGAGCGUCCAAGGUACAAUUUCCACAGCCUCCACUGUACCACAAUGUUGAGUUACAAAAUCGGCUAUAAUCUUCCCUUUAACUGCUUUAGCCGAUUCAUAACGCAGAUCGAACUCCGACAGUGCCAGAAUCCACUUACCGAUCGUGCCAGUCAUAAUCGGCAUGGACAGCAUGUACCGGACCACAUUAUCCUUGCAAAUAACAGUGCACUCGGCCGAUAGCAAGUAGUGUCUUAACUUGACAUAAGAGAAAUAUAAGCACAAACACAGUUUCUCAAUAGCCGAAUACCUGGUCUCAGCAUCAAUCAACCUCCUGCUUAAAUAGUAAAUCACAUGUUCCUUCCCUUCAAACUCUUGAAGUAAAACCGAACCGAUGACCACACCAUCGGUAGACAAAUACAAUCUGAAGGGUUUCCCUUGCUGAGGUGGAAUUUGAACUGGAGGAUUUACUAAAUAAUUCUUGAUUUCAUCCAGAGCCAACUGUUGUUCCUUCCCCCAAACAAACUCUUGAUCGACCUUUAGCUUAAGAAGAGGACUAAAAGCACGAAUUUUACCAGACAAAUUAGAUAUGAACCUUUUGAUAAAAUUUACCUUGCCGAUCAAGGACUGGAGUUCAGUCUUGUUGGUAGGUGCCACUAUCUUAUUGAUAGCAUCAAUAGAUCUUCGACUGAUUUCGAUCCCUCGCUGGUGCACCAUGAAACCAAGAAAUUGUCCUGCCGAUACACCAAAUGCACACUUAUUGGGAUUCAUUUUCAAACCAUGCUUCCUUGUGCAUUCCAACACUUUUCGCAAAUCGGCAAGAUGCUUUGCGAAGUCUCCAGACUUAACCACCACGUCAUCGAUAUAAAUUUCCACCAGCUUGCCGAUGAACUCAUGAAAUAUAAAAUUCAUGGCCCUUUGAUAAGUGGCACCAGCAUUCUUUAAGCCAAAGGUCAUGACUAUCCAUUCAAACAAUCCAACAUGACCAGGGCACCUGAAUGCAGUCUUUGGAAUAUCUUCUUCAGCCAUGAAUAUUUGAUUGUAUCCUGCAUUGCCAUCCAUAAAGCUAAUAAUUCGAUGCCCAGCCGCAGCGUCAACCAGCAGAUCGGCAACUGGCAUCGGGUAUCCAUCCAUCGGCGUAGCUUUAUUGAGAUUCCUGAAAUCAAUGCAGACCCGAAGUUUCCCGUUCUUCUUGUAGACCGGAACAACAUUGGAAAUCCACUCGGCAUAACGACACUACCAAAUAAACUUGGCUUCAAUAAGUUUGGUUAUCUCGGCCUUAAUAUCAGGGAGAAUACUAGGAUUGCAUCGGCGAGCCGGUUGCUGAUGUGGCCGAAAUCCAGACUUGAUAGGUAACCGAUGUUCAACAAUUGAUCGGUCCAAACCAGGCAUCUCAGUAUAAUCCUAAGCAAAGCAAUCUUUAUAUUCCUUUAACAAAUCGGUUAACUGCUGCUUACACUCAGAAUCUAACUUAGCACUAAUAAAAGUGGGUCUAGGCUUAUCACCACUACCUAUAUCUACUUCUACUAGAUCAUCGACUGAUGUGAAUCCCUGGCCUAACUUUCCAUCAUCGGCGAACCUAUCCAUUAAAAACCUUCGUCAGAACCGACUGCUUGGAUCGGUGGAAUCUCGUAAUCGGCAACCUUGAGAAAAUUCUUUUCCCAAAUUUCUCCUGAAAUACACCUAGUCCUUUCAUAGGUGUCUGCCUCUGCCGAUGCGAUGACAUAAGAAGAAUCUCCUGGGACAAUUUCAAUCUUGUCACCUACCCACUGGACCAAGCAUUGGUGCAUUGUGGAUGGGAUGCAACAAUUGGCAUGGAUCCAAUCUCUUCCCAACAGUAAGUUGUAAGCACCCUUUCCACUGAUCACAAAGAAGGUUGUCGGUAAGGUUUUGCUGCCGAUGGUCAACUCUACACAUAUUGCCCCCUUGACCGGAGACACAUUCCCCUCAAAGUCUUUAAGCAUCAUAUCGGUCUUGGUCAAAUCCUGAUCUCCUUUUCCAAGCUUCCAAUACACUGCAUAGGGCAUAAUAUUAAUAGCGGCUCCACCAUCAACCAGAAUCUUGGUCAUCGGCUGACCAUCCACUUUUCCUUUAACAAACAAAGCCUUGAGGUGCUGCCUUUCAUCAUCGGCGGGCUUCUCGAAGAUAGCCGUCAUCGGAGCCAGAGCCAACUGAGCUAUUUGGUCGGAAAACUCCACCUCGUCAUCACUGGAUGGCGCAAGGAACUCCAUCGGCAACAUAAAUACCAUGUUGACAUCUGUCGAUUGACCUUCCCUUUUAGGAUCUGAUCGUUGCUGAUCCCCAGACUGUCCAGAGUUCUCCCCCUUGCUCAACUCUUCUCGCCUUUCGCGCUGCAGUCUUCUCUUCUGAGUCCUGGUCAAUCCUUCCGGACACCAGGGAGGAAGUUGCUGCUGCCUUACCGAUGGGCGAGGAUUCUCCCUUGACUCUACCCGAUGAGUAUUGGCAUCCCUGCAAAAUAUGAACUCAUUGGGAACCCGAGCAUUAGCCAUUUCUUCAAGUUCUUCCUGAUUCCUGGGAAAAUAUUGAACACGAUCGCCAAGCUUGUCGUGCACGCUAAGUCUGCCCCCCAGCCGAUCAUGGACGGACGUUCUCUCCCUAAUCGGCCCAUCAAAUCGCCGAUUAUCACCACGAUAGUAUCGGUCGGACCUGUCAUAUCGGUCAUAACCGUUGCACUCAGGACAAUCUCUGAUAGUUAGAAGCUUGAUAUUUUCCUCCCAACAGUGAAUAAAGAACGGGCAAUUCCAGUGAUCCCUAUGCCGAUUCCAUUCUUGUCGGCGUCUCUCCUCUUCCCGACGAUAAUCCUCUUGCUGGCGCCGGUACCGAUCUUCUCGUUGCUGCCAAGUCUCUUGAGACCUUCUGUGAGUUAUCACAAUGCCAGAUCGGGGAGGCCUUCCUGAGUUAGUUCCCUCCUGGACCAAGCCUCUUCCUUUGGCAUCGGCAGUAGUGAUCUGGUGCUGAGGAUCUACCGAUGCACUCCUUUUAGCUGCUUCCGACGUCAAGACCUUGGCCUUUCCCUUAGCAUCCAACAUGUUCGUUGGGAAAGGAUGCUGAUCAAUCUUCAUCGGCUUCUGGGUCUUAGAACUAUCAAAUUUAAUCCUCCCAGACUCUAUGGCCGAUUGUAGCUGCUGUCUGAAGACCUUGCAUUCAUUAGUGUCAUGAGAAGUUGCAUUGUGCCACUUGCAAUAUUUCAUUCUCUUUAAUUCUUCAGCCGAUGGGAUCACAUGAUUAGGUGACAGCUUGAUCUGACCUUCCUGAAGUAGAAAGUCAAAUAUCCUAUCGGCCUUAGCGGUGUCGAACGCGAACUUUUCUGGUUCCUUGUGCCCAAAAGGGCAAGACAUUGGCUUCUUAUUUUUUACCCAUUCUGCCAAACCGAUGACCAGUUCUUCAUCAGAGUCCGAGCUUGUUGCUUCAUCAACGAACGACACCUUUUUGUUCCAUGCUCUCUUGGGCUCGAAAGGCUUGAUAUCUUGAUCAGAAAUUCUCUGCACUAAAUGACUUAAACUUUCAAACUCCUGAGACGCAUACUUGUUCCUGAUGUGUGGCAACAAACCCUAGAAAGCCAAAUCGGCUAGCUGCCGAUCAUCCAGAACCAAGCUAUAGCAUUUGUUCUUGACUUCCCAUAUCCUCUGCACAAAACUUUCAACCGAUUCAUCAUUUCGUUGCCUUAGCUUGACCAAAUCGGUGAUCUUCUUCUCAUGGACCCCAGAAAAGAAGUACUUGUGGAAUUGUUUCUCUAGAUUGGCCCAGGUAAUCACUGAGUUGGGAGGUAAUGAUAUAAACCAAGUGAAAGCCAAUCCGGAUAACGAUGACGAGAAUAAACAAACCCUUAACUCAUCCCUAUUACCAGCUUCCCCGCAUUGGAUGAUGAACCUGUUGACGUGCUCCAUGGUUGACGUGUCAUCCUGCCGAGAAAACUUAGUAAAAUCCGGUACCUUGUACCGAUUUGGGAGUGGGAUCAGAUCAUAUGCGGGAGGAUACGGUGUCCGAUAAGAGUAAGUGUUGACUUUGGGUUUUAUCCCAAAUUGGUCUCUCAUUACUUCAGCAAUCUUAUCGGCCCAAUAAGCAUCGGCAUCCUGCCGAUGAGGUGGUUGUGGAUCCGGCAUCCGCUGGUAAGCCUCCACGUGUCUGUGCGGUGCACGAUCUGCAUGAAACAUCGGGUUGAUCAUCUGGCCCCCAAUCUGUGGACCACCAAGCUGUUGCCCGCCAAUCUGUUGUCCGCCGACCUGGUGCCCAAGAUUCAUUGGCUGGUUGGGAAUCCCCUGAUUCUGAAACCCAGGAUAAAUCUGACCUUGCUGGAACCCUGUAGCCUGAUGAUUCUGUUGGGUCGUUUGUGGAAAAACUUGCUGCCCAAGCCAUCCACUAUUAGCAUUCAUCGGCAUUGGUCCUGCCGAUGACUGGUAAUUGGGCAUUAUCAUUGAAUUGUCAUGCCCUGGCUGAGUCACAAACCUCUGUUGCAUCAGCAUUGAGUUCGCCGAUGUGUUAGGCAUCUGGAACAUCGGAGUUUGAGAAUUCCCAGUGUAAGGUCUUGCAGUAGUAGUUGUAGUAUACUGGGGACUCUGAUUCAUCGGCAUGCUUGGGGGUGCCGAUGCCAUAGGAGUCUUGCCUCUCACAUCAAUCGCCUGUGACGUGCCCGGCGUUAAUUCUGGAGGCAUGCCAUAACCCCACCAGUUAGGAGGAGGAGUCAAUCCUGACAUUGCCGAUGCCAAAAGAUCUAUAGCGAGUUUAAUUUGCCCAUCUGAAGUUUGUGGAUUGGUCGUCAUCGGCGUAGAUUGUGCAUUAGUAAUUCCCAACGUACUUGGAGGGACGGGAAUCUCCAUGCCCGCAGCGGCUGUAGCAGCCGAUGGAGCUGUAACCACUGGUGACCCUGGCUGAUGAUGAGAGGGGCCCACAUAAUCUGGUGGCAACUGUCCCUCCUUGAAAGUUCUAGCCACGGCGUUGAAAACCGUAUUGGACAGCACACCAGCUUGGUUGAUCAAGGCACGGUUGAUAGCACUAUCAACCAUCUCUUGAAGUUUACCAGGAUUGGCUUCAAAGGUAACCUGCCGAGGCGCCGGCAACGCAUCCUUCUGGAUCACCUCGCCGCUCCUGUUCAUGCUGAAGAACCUCAGGCAUUGCUGCUUGUAAUCCUCCAUGGCUUUAGCAAUAGCUUGCUUCUGGUCAUCCUUGAGAUGGCUUCCGUCACAGGGAUGACGUUCUCCUGAUCGAACUCAGAAGUCGACAUGUUGAUCUUGAUCUUGAAUCAGUCCCACUGGGUGUGCCAAAAGAUGUGUUGGUGCAAAAGUUGAUCUGCAAACACAAAGGGCUAAUACCCGAUUCAAUCGUUAAGGCGUGCCAGCCGAUUUGACCUUACUAUCGGCAAGGAUGGUAACUCGAAUACUUUGGUCCCGACAACAGCGAUGCGCCUGGAUGUCACGGCCAAGAGGUAUUCAUGCGGAACUUGAGAAUGCGCCGAGUUUAAGUCGACGAAUUCCUAAGAACUCGUAGUAAAAAGGAAAAAGUAUGACGAAGUCGUCGAAAUAGUAGAUGCUGGAAUAUGAGUAAAAGCUGGUGUUUGAUUGAUUGAUAGAUCCCUCAUUACAAGGCCCUAGGGUCUACAUUUAUACCCUGCCCAAAGAGCUACAACCAGACAUGACUAGAAUUCGAAUUCCAAAUUGGAACAGAAUCCGUGUACAAAACGAUCUAAAUAACUAAGGAAAACGUAAAACUAUCCUCACGGGACACACCAGAACAUCCCCACCAGCCGAUCGGCAACUUCGAGACUCCUCCGUACCAUCGGCAGACUCCUUCAUUAUAGCCAUCGGCACAAACACAUCAUCACCUAUGGACUUGGUCACGUUCAACCACCCUUCCAUCGGCAACCAUCUUCAUCGGCAACUCUCCCUGUAGAUCAAACACCACUGUCUUAUCUUGCCGAUCUACACUUUACCGAUCAUGGACACGUGCCCAAAAACGGUGUCAACAGUAUUUAUAUUUUUACCACUGGGAGAAAGGGUGCAUCUGACUAACCAAAUCUAUUGCUACUAUCCCUUUAGGCUACAAAGAAUGUUUCUCGAUGUGAGCGAUGUAUAGAGAAGACUGCAACUGUAGUCUCAUUCUAACCUUGGUAAGGAUGAUCUACCGUUCUAUUGGGGAAGCUUACGGAAUCUAGACACCACAAAGGAUGUUCGACCCGCACUUAUAAACCCUACCCAUCCUGCUAACAAGAUAUGGGAUACAAAGGUAACUGAGAAAUGUCACGUUCCUCGCUACUACCACGGUCCAGCUAGUCAGGAGAUAUCUAUGAGUACCCUAGCCUAAACACCACGUUUACGCUAGCAAUGAUUACUCUAAUACUCAACCGGAAGAGGAUUAAAGUAAACUCAUAAACCAAAGAACAAUAAAACAAGAACUUACUAGAAUUAGAAGUCGAAUUACUGAAGAAUCUUAGAAGCAAGCCUCGGGUUAGGAGACUUGAUCCCGUAGGUACAACUCGGAGUAGACACCGACAGGCCGGCCUUCCUCCGAUCUACACCUCCACUCUAUCUCUCUCAAUCUAGUAGAAACUAGAAGAUCUAUUUCUACUUUACAUUGGAUGCAAAGCCUAAAAAGAAAUAUUAUUUAGAGAAGAGGUUUUCCUUCGAGGGCGCCUCUCAAUCUCUAUGAUAACUUCUUGUCUCCUCUAGGGGCCAGGAGGUCUCCUUAUAUAGUCCUCCUCCUCUAUGCGUUUUUGGGUCAGUAGGCGAUGUGGUACUAUGUUAUCCUUGAUCCUUUAGGUCGGUGGAACGUCGUGUGCGAAGAGAGUCCCGAACGGAGUUCAGGACAGUGCGGGCGCCCAGGGAAAGAGGGCGGGCGCCCUGGGCCUGGCCCCUUUCGGCCUCUGCUUUCUUCCCGUGGCUUCUGGAGUCUUCUAGAUGGUAGAAAAUUGUGCGGUGCGUUGAUAUCUCUAUGUAAUCCCGACAUGUGGGCCUUUCCUCUAUAUUUCCUGAUAACCCCCUGCAGAAAUAGACAAACACCAAAACUCAUGGAAUUCUGUCAGAUAAAACCCUAAGUCUGGGUGUUGGUUGCAUUUGGAUCCUUUUCUUUAUUUAUUCGAUGAUUAUAUUUGGUACUUAAGGACCGUCAACAACUCCCCCAAGCUUACCUCUUGCUCGUCCCUGAGCAAGGAUGAACUAAAGAGUUUCUGCAGUGGUUUCAUGCCUUAAAAGUACACACGCAUUCAAGCAAGAUUUCAUCUCUGAGUUUGAGCAAACUGUUAAGACUUAAAACUUACUCAUUUUACGUUUCACCAUGGGGCUUGUAACCGUCACUUGUGUCUUGAGCAGUUAAAAGAUAGAACGGUCAAGUCAAGCGCCAUGUCUCUUAUUCUUGAUCAGCUAUCGCUCUGGAGUUUUUUGUAGAUUUUCAAAUAAAACUCAGAGAUUCCUUAUAUGACUCUCUCAAAUCUCUCUUUUAUGGUAUUUCUGGAUCCUUACCAAGGCAGUAAUGGUAUAUGCAUUCUCUCAAAGUAUGUGGUAUUUUUGGUAUAAUGCAUAGUGAUACUGCCUUCUCUCUCAUCCUACUCUAAUAAGGUUUUGAUAUCUGGAGCUCAUAGGUGGGAGACAGCCAAUACACACUUACAAGACAUUUAUUGCAUAGUCAAACCAUGGAUCCAGAGAAACAAGCCAAUAAGUCAAAUCAAGAUGUGCAUGUGUGGCGAGUGAAUGGUGUAUGGUGAUGAUGGUGAUAACAAUGAUGAAAAUCUAAUUCUACUUUUGCUCUUUUGAGGGGAUACAUACCUUUCUUGCACUUUGAAGCUUUUUGGGGAGAAUGAGAUGCUCUAUAUUUUCUUUUUCUUUUCUCUCAGGUGGGUAUCUUGUACCCCUAAUUAUACUGUCGGACACUUGUCCAUUUUUACCUCUCGUCUCACAUUUUCUUUUCUUUCGAGGUUCCGGGCACUUGCCCCUUUUUAUUUCCUCGUAUUUUUUCCUCUUUUUCUCUUUUUUUAGAGCACUCAUCUCCUGAAAUAAUAUAGCAAGUGGUAGUAACCAAGAUAACUCGAGCAUUUAUUCCACAGGGAAAAACAGAAAUAUUUUUGGCCAUUCUUUCCCGGAUUAGGAGUAGAAUGUUUUUGGGUGGUUCUGGAGAUGGAAAUGAGUGGAUAUAUGUGGAUGGUACUUCCAGAGUAGAAGUAGCAUGUAUGAGUGAACGUGCAAGUGAAUCUUGAUUUUAACCACAUGACAAGCUCCUAAGGGUCUACACAGCUUGACCACACUCAAUGCUCAUAAGCAGUAAAAAGUAAAUGUGUGGCUCAAAGUCUAAUAAGCAUGUAUAUAUGGCUGUGGUAGGAUUUUAAACUCUCAUCAUACAGGAACUCAUCAUGUGUUAUUUUAAAGAUUUUUCAAAGAUAAAAUUCUCCAGAAUUCUAGCAUCUCUACGAACAGAUAAACAACAGCUCAACCUUCCCAUAUCAUAUCCAUUAACGACUUAGACUUUAGAUCAAGUACUCUUUCCACAAGUUCAGAUUUAGAGCAGGUUUAAAUUAUAACAGUUAUGCCUAAACGAGAGAGAGAUUUCAGUUUUAAGAACUAGUCAUGGCAGAGAACUAUUCAUCAUUUCCAUGUGAGAGUUUAUCAUGAGGGUUCAUAGCAAACUGUAUUUAUUUAUUUAUUUAGCAAACUAAGCAAAGAUAUAUAUAUAAGCACAAAAUCUUUAUUUGGGUUUUCAUGAUUAUGCAUCUUUUAUUAUUUGAGUAAAGUAUAAACGCGAGUAGAAACACUUAGCUGGAUAAAUGGAGGUGCUCUCCCCCAAGCUGGAUUUUGACGUAAUUUCUUCUGAUGUAGCUAGCAGGUGGUGGAGGUAUAUUUGAAAGUCGGCAGCACCCUGACAGCGAUUAGGAUGUCCUCCGUCUGCUAGUCUUUUUUAAUCCAUGAAUUCUGUGGAGCUCAAAUAGACAACAAAGCUUUGUGGAACUGGUUAAGUGUUAGCAUAAAUAUCUAGCCUUUAUCAAGUUGAGCCUCCUCAAUAAAUGUUAUUUAUUUAGCAGGAUCAAAUUGUAAUAUGAAAACAUAUUUAUUUUAUGCCACCACAGUGAAUGUACCUAUGGGUUUUAUGCCAUGAGCAUACUCACAUGGGGCUUACUAUUUUUAACAUUUUUAUUUUCUUUUCAAGAUGAUAUGAACCUGAUUAACUAAGCAAACUAUAAUUGAAUAAUUGAAAGGAAAAGGAUAACUACCAAGUUUACCUCUUGGCAAGGCGUUCGAUGUUUUUAAGUCCUCCGAACGGGACUCUCCAUUUUCUCAGUCGUCUUGGGAUUCGCUGGAUGGCGUAGUCGGUGAUUCCGGCGGCGCCUCCUCUUUGUGUAUAACUAUCUUCUCUUUCCACAUCUAACUCGGUGCUACAGACUCCUUAGGACAGUUCUGUUCAAGCUGUAUGUCUUCAGACCUUACCACUUCUCCUUUGUAGUCUACCCAUCCGUUCUUGAUGAUUUGCCUCCUCUGGUUGCGGUUGCGUCGUCUUCUUGUCCUGACCUGCUUAGAGUCUUCAACUAUAUAGUUAGGGUCAGUAAAAUAGCUACGUACCUUCUCAAAGGAGAAGUACAUGUGGACUUCUCUGGUUCCAAUGUAGAUGAUUGCUUUGAUAGUGUUGAGGAACGGUCUUCCAAGGAUGGUGGGUGGAUCAUACUCGUCUUCUCCCAUGUCAAUGACCUGAAAAUCAUCUGGAGCUGAAUAUAUUUUGGUUGUAGGGGCAUGGUUCCAUGCAGCAGCUGAUAAGUGACUGCGGUCAUUAUGUUGUCGUCAGAUCCGGUGUCGUAGAGUGUCUUCUGAAAAGAGUAUCCAUUGAUUGUGCAUUCGAUGCUUGAAACACCAAUGUCGUCCUUCUAGAUCAAGAAAGGUGACUUGAGUCGACGAUCUUGACCUCCUUGAGCUGCAGUGACCAUCUUAGCUGACUCAGUCCACAUUUGCUUGUUCCUGUUCCUCCUGUUAGUCCUCUUCCUUGGUUCAUGUCGGGAUUGCUCUGAAGUUUGUGUAGUCUUGUUCUUGAAGGAAAGUCUCCUUCUUCCCCUUGAUGUAGAGACUGAUCUUGGUAGCAUUAGCGUAGAUGAUAGCUCUGGUGUUUAGGAAUGGCCUCCCUAAGAUGAUGGGUGCCCUCUCCUCAGUACCAGUCUCUAUCACCACGAAGUUUGCUGGAGCGUGCAAGGUACCAACUCGGACACAGAGGUUCUUCAAUAUUUCCUUUCGGAAACUAAGUGUCCGAUCUCCAUUGUGUUUGUGCUCGUAGAUCCCGGUUCUUCAUUUGGUGGAAUCUAGGAGUUGUAAAAGUCCUCCAUGUUUUGCUUGAAGUGUACCUGUUCAUACAGACAAGGCAGAGAUCAAGUGCAUGGGCCCUGUUGGUGGAAAACACCAACAGAGCCAAAAGUGUAUUUGUUCUUCUCUAACCUUAAGCAUAGUGAGCAAGACAAAGUUGAUGGAUAAUAAGAUCAUGAGUGUAGUAUUUGAAACAUUUGUCAGUUCAGAUUGCUCAACCCAAUGGGAAGAUAAUCUAUCUAUAUUUAUGUUUUGUUCAUAUCUUCCAAAGAUUAAAUGUGCAACACUUUAGCUUAUAUGAUUAGGAGUGUGGGAUCACGAAGGUAGUACCAUAAACAAAGAUUAAAGGACUAAACAUGCUGAAUCAGUUGAGUUUGUUAAUUUGGAGUUAUAAAUCAUACAUGUUUGUCUCUUUAUUUAUGUGAAUGCUAGAACCAAGGAGAAGCUUAUAAAAGUGAUAGUCAAGUACCUUAAGAUGUUACCUUACUUGAAGAGUGAUGGUAUAGUACCACCUUGUGGAAGCAUUCCUUUCUUAGCGGUUGUGCAUCGUGUUUGUGUCACCCUCCAUGGAUCAUCUCUUUAUGAUGAAUGAGCUAUGUCUUUCUUGUGCAAAUUGUUAAACUUCAUGUGUCUCCUUUAUCUCCAAUGAGUUUGUAUCUCAGGACUUCCCAGGUUGAUAUUGAAAGUUUUCCUGCAGGGGUUAGUCCGACAAAAUAUACCAAUGUCUACACAAGCAGUUUUUAGUUCAAUAACCGAACUAGACUCCAUGUCUAAUCAGAUUAAGGAAGGCUAUUUAACCUAAGCACCACGCUUAAUUUAAAAGCCAAUAGAAGUAUGUGCAGUACUUCCAAACUAACACUUACUAGGAUAAACAAACGUAGCGUGAUGGCAUUUAUAGAGAUCUACUCAAGUGGAGAUGAAGUAGUGUGAUUAGUAUUUAAUCAAUUGAGCAUGUCUCAAAGGUAAGGACAACCAACAUAGCAACUUGGCAAGGGAUGUUUUCAUGUGAAGUACUCCCCCAAGCUUGAAUUUUGCAAAAUUCAAGAUUGGAUGAAUUUAAUUCAAUGUUGCAUGAUGAUUAGUUGGACAUACCUUGUGCUUGUCAUUCAUCUAAUCUUCUUGCUCCAAUCCUGGAAAGGUUAGUGGCAAGAAUACCUGAAGGAAUAUUUCUACAAUUAUCUCAAUAUGCUCAAUACACAAGGCAAUGUUGCAAAUAAUUAGAAGUUCAUGUUACGAUCUGAUAAGUGCUUGUUUAAGGAUGCUAAGCUUAUCCUUGGGAAACCAUCAAGUUAUGUUGGUGAAGUGGUUUCCCCUCCAACACCUACCUAUAUCAAGAUCAACUCAACGAGAUCUACAAUAUUUAUUAUAGACAUAUGCAUCGACAACCGCCCUUUUAAUGUUUUUAUAAAUAGAAAGGAAGAGGGGGUUGGAGAUCUCAAAUAUGGUGACGUUGGAGAGACCAAUUGAUUGAGGAGAUGUUUUAUAUGAGCAAGGACUUGGUGAGGUAUUUAUGAAAUAACUUCCAUGCUCACUGUUGUUUCUCUCAUUCUCAAACUCCAAGGAUGAUUCUUCAUGAAUGCUUAAAAUUCCUCUAGGAUUGUCUCUCAAAUUUGUUUUAUCUAUCCAUUCAAUGGUGAUAGCACAUGGAUUUUUAAUGCCCUCUAGCCAUUGAUAUUGUUCUUCUGGAUCCUCCUUCUUAUGCAUGGGAUGUCUACAGAGAUUCAUAGGACUAUCAGGAGGUUCAAGAGAAAGAGCAUAGUAGAAACUAUUAAGCUCAAGGAUGGGAUGGAUAGCCGAAUCAUGGGAUUGAAAUGUUUGGAAAUUGGCUAUUGAAACUUCCUUUCCUCGUCUGGGAGAUGAUUCCUUCUCUAUCUCUAAGAUUUUUCUAUGAAGACUAGUACAAGAAGGAUGUCCACGAAUGAAGACAUACCUUACUUUACUAAUAGAUAAAGAAAGAAAGACUCUACCAAUGGUUAUAUAAUUAAGACCAAUGUGAAAAUAUCGAGAAAAAACAUGGUCUUGUAGGGCUAGGUCUGAACUAGAAUUUAUAGAAAGAUUAACAGAUUCCCUAGGUGUAGCUAAAAGUGCAUUAUCUUCUUGAUUAAAAGAUAGGACCUCAGCUAUAGAAAAGGGUUGGUUUUGACCUAUUGCAAUCAACUCUGGACACAGAUCAUAAUUAGGGGCAGGACUUGUUGACUCCCAUGGUCUAUGGCUGGUCUCCGAAGGUGCAAAGAAUUCAAUUAUAGGUAUGGAAUUUAAGUUAUCCAUAAAGAUAAAAAUAAAAAGAUAAAAGAAUAAAAGUAUAAAAGUAUAAUACAAGAUAAUAGCAAGACUCAAAGUUAUCUCAACAAACCGUCUUUCUCUCCGGCAACGGCGCCAGAAAUGCAUGUUGAUAUUUGGUAACGCAAUAAGGAAAUGAUCCGCAAGCACACGGAUAUCGGUGAGCAUUUCACCGGGGAGGUUGUCCAGAGUUAUCGUAUUUAUAUUUUUACCACUGGGAGAAAGGGUGCAUCUGACUAACCAAAUCAAUUGCUACUAUCCCUUUAGGCUACAAAGAAUGUUUCUCGAUGUGAGCGAUGUAUAGAGAAGAGUGCAAUUGUAGUCUCGUUCUAACCUUGGUAAGGAUGAUCUACGGUUCUAUUGGGGAAGCUUAUGGAAUCUAGACACCACAAAGGAUGUCCGACCCGCACCUAUAAACCCUACCCAUCCUGCUAACAAGAUAUGGGAUACAAAGGUAACUCGGAAAUGUCACGUUCCUCGCUACUACCACGGUCCAGCUAGUCAGGGGAUAUCUUUGAGUACCCUAGCCUAAACACCACGUUUACGCUAGCAAUGAUUACUCUAAUGCUCAACCGGAAGAGGAUUAAAGUAAACUCAUAAACCAAAGAACAAUAAAACAAGAAAUUACUAGAAUUAGAAGUCGAAUUACUGAAGAAUCUUAGAAGCAUGCCUCGGGUUAGGAGACUUGAUCCCGUAGGUACAACUCGGAGUAGACACCGACAGGCCGGCCUUCCUCCGAUCUACACCUCCACUCUAUCUCUCUCAAUCUAGUAGAAACUAGAAGAUCUAUUUCUAUUUUACAUUGGAUGCUAAGCCUAAAAAGAAAUAUUAUUUAGAGAAGAGGUUUUCCUUCGAGGGCACCCCUCAAUCUCUAUGAUAACUUCUUGUCUCCUCCAGGGGCCAGGGGGGUCUCCUUAUAUAGUCCUCCUCCUCUAUGCGUUUUUGGGUCGGUAGGCGAUGUGGUACUACGUUAUCCUUGAUCCUUUAGGUCGGUGGAACGUCGUGUGUGAAGAGAGUCCCGAACGGAGUCCAGGACAGAGCGGGCGCCCAGGGAAAGUGGGCGGACGCCCUGGGCCUGGCCACUUUCGGCCUCUGCUUUCUUCCCGUGGCUUCUGGAGUCUUCUAGAUGGUAGAAAAUUGCGCGAUGCGUUGAUAUCUCUAUGUAAUCCCGACAUGUGGGCCUUUCCUCCAUAUUUCCUGAUAACCCCCUGCAGAAAUAGACAAACACCAAAACUCGUGGAAUUCUGUCAGAUAAAACCCUAAGUCUGGGUGUUGGUUGCAUUUGGAUCCUUUUCUUUAUUUAUUUGAUGAUUAUAUUUGGUACUUAAGGACCGUCAACAGCCCCUACGAGCAGCAACGGAGGAAAGGGGACCAGAGUAGUGCGCCGGAGGAGGGAGAGGAAGAGUGUGUGUGUGUGUGUGUGUGUGUGUAUAUAUAUAUAUAUAUACAUAUAUAUAUAUAGACCGUCAUAUCGGGCCGAGAUAGGCUGCUUGGGCUCCGACCAGGGCCUACCUUUUUUCGAGGUCGGCCUUAUCGUUAGCCGUCUUAAAAAAUAGAUUUACGGAGAUGGACACCUUAAUUUUUACUACCUCCAUUAAUCGGUUUUACAAGGCGGGCAAACAUUACUGCAUCGGUAAAUAAAUGUACCACCUCCAUUAAUAGCCCAACAUUUUUCGAGGCGGUUGAAUUUUAUGCCCACCUCCAUUAAUGUUUGGGCACUAUCACCUAAAAUCAUUUCUAUAGUAGUGGUUGUGCAUUUCUGAAUUGUUGAAUUGAGUUGGGGCUUCUUCUCAAUUGGGGUGAUUUGUCUCUUCUUGCAAGUUUGUUUGUGGUGCAAAAUGGUAUCAUGUUCUGUUGGGGUUGCGGUUGAGUCGGUCUAGGCGCCUUGGUGGCCUGUCUAGUCAAAUUCCACAUAGCCUUUCUCACCUAAUCUGGCAUAUUGGUUCAUGAUUUGAAACAAUUUGCUUACUACAUUGUUUGGUGGUGACCUAGCAAGAAAUGAUGCACACUGACUAGUGACUAAACCUUCGAUGGUCACUGCUAUGACUGUUGAAUGUUUGGUGCUUGUGCCUUGAGCCGGAUGAAUCUUUUUGUGUAGUCGGAUAAGGGCUUGUCAUCUCGCUACACAUAGUUCAUUAGGUCUCGUGUUGUUUUAGUCUCUAACUGAUAACCCUAUAAUGUUGCCAAGAACUUUGUCUUGAUCUGAUUUUAGGAUUGGAUCAAAAGGGGCUUUAAAGAGAUUUACCAAUCAUGGAUGAUACCUUUGGCCUCCAAUGGCUAGGUGUCACCUCCAGUGGAUGAUACUGCAGAUGAGAUCCUAAUCAUGGAUGAUACUGCUGAUGAGAUCCUAUCAUAGGAGUAUGUUAAGCCUUGAGGUCAAGUGUUCCCAACCAAGAGACCCCUCGACCGAUCGCUCUAGGAUCUCCCAGGGGAACACGGGGGCACACCCCUUAGGUGCGCUCACACACACCUUUCAGCUAAGGAUUGGGUCAGGUCUGAGCAUGCCCUCUAACUCUAUUUAAGGCUCAGGGGCUCGCUCAAGCCUCAGGAUCCCGAUCAAUGUGCGUCUAAACCUUAUCCUUGUCCUCCUGGCCUUUCAGUGCUAGCCAAGGCCCGGGUUGGAGACAAGCACCUUGAGCAUCCAUAGCUCAAGGGCUCCCUAGCACUACCCAGUAGGCACGAUGAUGUCAACCACUCCUUAGACAAGGUCAUGCAUGGGACAUGACACAAGGGGACAAGCCCCUCGGUUGGCUUCCGGGGCUCGAGGGCUUCUAUGACCGCUUGUCAGUCCCUAAGGUCGAAUGCCUUCACUGCUAAAAAGCUUCUAGAAGGCGCACCUAGUGCAGGCUAGUCCAAGAAGACAAAGCCUAAAACUCACCAUGUCAGAACACAGUUGCCAAAUGAUGUCUAGUGCUUCUUCGGCUCCACAACUACACCAAGGUCUAUUCAUGCCGCUACAAGACCCUCCUAGACUCUAGCACAUGUAGACCAUAGGCUAAACUCUCCCAAACCGCUAUGUACCCAACCUACCUCAGUAUAUAAGGGGAGGUUAGAUCCUACAAAGGGAGAGGACAAGAAUAGUGCAAUCUCAGAUAGAUCAUUCGGGUCCUUACUGAAUAGCUCAAGCUCUGUACUAAGACUAGAGCCACCCUAGAGGAGUAUCAAGAGCUCCUCUACCCUUUCCAUCAUCUUCACCUCUUUGACAAGGAAGAAAUCUCACGCCAACAACUAAGGAUCAGCACCAACCGAUCCCCUACCAAAUCUUACUCUUAUACUCUUUUGUAAGUGUUGAAAUUUCUUAGUGUCACUACUACAAAUAGAGUUUUAAAUCUAUCCCUAGAAACGGUGCCAGAAAUGCUUGUUGACAUCUCUAACAUGAUUACAAAUAGGAUGGUCAAACCAUUUCCUAGCAAAGGUAUUAGAAAUGUUCGGGACAUCUCUUAGCGUUGCUUAAGCUAAGUUGUCAUCCUCAACACAACACCAUUUACUUAUGAUCAUAGCACUAUAGAAAAUGAAUAAAGAUUAUUUGUAAGAGCAUAGAUAAAAUAAACCCAUUGUAGCAUUUUACCUAGGAAAGUUCCAGGUAUCGUUAUUUAUAAUUUUACCACUGGUAAGGCACUUGGAGGUAUAAAUAAUAAAAGCUAAAGCUUACACUUGUGAUAAGAGUUCCACUAGAUCAAUACUCAAAACAAGGAUCAAUCAUAUCAUAAAUAAAGAUAAGUAAUAACAGAUCAAGAUAAUCCUAAAAGGGGUUCCACCGAGCAUUUUCCUACCUAGGCAUGACUCUAGAAAGAACUAGAAAAUAGAGACUAACUCCUAAGGUUAUUCUAACUAUAGGUCUAAGAGUUCCACUAGAUCAAUACUCAAAACAAGGAUCAAUCAUAUCAUAAAUAAAGAUAAGUAAUAACAGAUCAAGAUAAUCCUAAAAGGGGUUCCACCGAGCAUUUUCCUACCUAGGCAUGACUCUAGAAAGAACUAGAAAAUAGAGACUAACUCCUAAGGUUAUUCUAACUAUAGGUCAUUGAGCUAUAUUGAUUAGUGCAAUUAUAUUUAGCAAUCAUGGUCAAAUAAUCUCACAUUUAUACUCAGGAGACAUUGUUAAGGUGGGUCAAGAACAGAGCAAGAUAUCCCCAAAUUAAACUUAAGCCUUACAUAUCCUAUAUUCGGGGAGUAGACUAUAGAGGACUCAACAAAGCUAUAAUAGUCACCUUCACGAUCUACCACAUGGCCCAAAAUAUAUGGGGUAUUUGCAGAUAAACAAUGUAUAAGCACCAUGCUUACACAAUAUCUACCACCACCCCUUGAUCAUCAGGAUGAUCGCUAUACGAACAAGAGCAUAAACACAAAACUACUCCAACUAUACUAAACAUAUAAUCAAUGUAGGCCACAAACAUUAUAAUUAUGAACAUAAAAUUAUAACAAGUCAUAUCAAGUAUUUGACUCACACAUGAACUAGAAUAGGAACUAGAGGAAAAUAUGAACUAAAUAAUGAACUAGAUGAAUUAGACAAACUAGAUAAGAACAUGAUGAAUUAGACAAUCUAGAUGAUGAACUAGAAGAACAAAAGAUGAACUAGAAGAUAAACACAAUGAACUAGAAGAUAAUAACACAAAUAUAUUAAUAAUGUUGAAUACAAGAGAGAAGUACAAGGCUUUACCUAGCCUCCUCGCGACUAGAUCCAGAAUCCAAGCGUUGCUUGACUCCUCUAAUUCCUAUUCUUAUGUUCUAGCUAUUCCCUAGUUGGAGGAGCUCUAGGUUAUCCUUUCGAGGGACACCUUUGAACUGAAUAAUGGAUAUGAGAUAUGAGAUUGAUUGAUUGAAUGAUUGAUGCCUCUAGGGGGUUCUGCCUUUGUUUAUAUAGUUCGGUGGGAUGAACCGCAUCUCUCAGAACAAACCGACAUGAAACAAUGGUCAAGAUGUGUCGUAGAGGUCUGUUGGAGGCCAUCACGCAAAGGAGAGCCCAUUUGGAAGGGGGCAGGCCGGCCGGCCGGCCUAGCAUGUGAGGCUAGUCGGCCUCAAUUGGCAGCCACCGGUCUUUUGCUUCAUUCGUGUGUCUUCUAGUGUCCUCCACAUCCUUCUAAUGUCACUUUCCAACCCGUUUGUGCAAUGUGUCAUGUUGUAGAUAGAUUCUUUCUGUUCCCAUCUUUUGGAUAAAUCUCUAGAAAAUAUUAUUUCACAGAGCUAUGAAAUCUUGUCAGUUUAGUCCCUGGUCUUGUGAUGAUGAUGGUUCUAGGGUCGUCUAGAGUCUUUUGAGUCAUAUCCACUGAGGACUUUCUCUCUAGUGCUCCAAAUAUAGCAAAUGAUAUAUCCAUCUCAAUCAUCUUGACGAGCUCUUCGCAAUGGUAUGCUUAGAUUCUUUACUUGAGAUACUUUUAUAUGGUAAAAUAUUGAAUAUCCUGCAAGACAAGUGAGAACAACACAACUCAUGGAACUCAUUAGAAUAAUCCUCUAUAACCCUACUUUAUACAUUGUUUCAAAUCUCUUCCUGGGUUAAUUGAUGGUUACAAAUUAGAGUUAAUUACCAUCAGCAGCAAGCCCCCCAAUAUGGGUGCUCUUGAAUACAAAGGUACUUAAACUACUAGAUGUAGGGCCCCAAUAGCCCAAACUAGCAUAAACCUCUAUGGUCCCCGCAUGAUCUUUGAGUUCUUUCAUGUUCUUGAGUCCACUAGAGACACACAAUCAGUGACAGCUGAUGAACAAAUAAUGCUUUCAUAGUUUCAACUCUCUGACAAAUGCCACCUCAUAGCUAGCUAGGAAUUAUCAGGGGGUUGGACUGUUCGUUGAUAGGUGAAACUCUCUUGAUAGCAGUGAUGUUUAGCCUUGGUCUACAUGUGCCAGAGUCUAGGAGGCUUGUAAUUCUAUGGCCAAGGAUGUUGUUGCAACUCUCUUGAUAGCAGUGAAGUUUGAUCAUAUCUCACUAGAUUUUUUCCUCAUUAAUGGGGAUAUGCCCAAGGAGAACUAUCGUAGUCUUGUUCGGCAUCUUCAUCAUUUGCUCUUUUCAAUUCUAAAUUUCUCUAUUAAGUUUGUUUCACAACUAUUUAGCUUGUACUAUUGAGUUUCAUACUUGAUCAGCUCUGUUUCUAGUGAUGCAUGCUGCAAAAGUUGUUACUCCAAUAUUUGGAUUUUGAGUAGUAUUUGUCUGGCCUCCUAUGCCUUAGCUUGUUGUUGUAUUUCAUAGUCCUUGCUUUCACCCUCUUGAUGCCCUGGAUCUUCCAUGUACACUUUUAGGGUGUCUUUUCAUACUCCUAGUGGUGUUGCUUCAUCAAUCGGGGCUUGAGGUGUUGUUAGUUCGGUUAAUAGUGGGUUGGGCUCACUAGGGAGGAUUGCUGCAUUUGUGGGUGGCUGCCUUGCUAUGACGGCCUCUUAGCUUCUGUUGCCUAUGAUGUUUUGGUCGUGUCGCUCCCUCCUUCUGCUCCUUUCUUUGGGGCCAUGACAAGCUCAAGCAACAACCACAGUGAGUGCCAAUGUUGUUCUAGGCCUUAUUAGCCUCCAAACUACCGUAGUCGCCAAACUAAAAGCCCUCAAAGUGAACACAAUGCAAUGGAGGCAAAGGGCAAAUAGCAAAGUGAGUCACAUGAUUCUCAAUUUCAUUAUUCAUCAUCCUUUAUGAUGACCCUUGCCUUGGGUAUUUAUAAACUCAUGUAGGCUUAUACAAUACCAAAAUACCCUUAUACCUGCCCUAGAUCCUAGGCAUAUUUUGACUACCCUAUGACAGCCAAGAUUAGUGGCAUCCACCUCUCCCUGUUACCGCCACUCUCAAUCUAUGCCUAGGCUUCUUCUGACACCAAGAGGUGACCAUUCUUAGUGGGCCCUUCCUUCGCUCCCUCGGUCGGUGUUUCAAUCAUUGCCUGGCACUAUCCAAUUAGCCUCCCUUUGUCAUUCCUCCUUUCACCAUGACAAAAAUCUGGAGGACCACCUGCAAACGACAAACAAUUACAUCGAAUGGCAAACUUAGGAUUAAGAGUGGUGAAAUUAGGGUUGUCAAGGUUAGGAACAGAGAAGUGUGCAUCGUUGCUCAUGCGUGCAAGCUGCACAAUCAUUGCCUCCUAGUUCUGGGCCUUGGGCAUCUUCACCAUUUCGCUUCUUGGCUAAGUGGUACUUUACCUGAAUGAAAAACAAAAUACACUAAAUGCAUGGACAGAAGAUUGCAAAGAGGGGGUGUUGAAAGGGUGUAACCUCCCCCCCCCAACCAUCUUCACCAUGGUUCCCACCUUUCCAGAGCCCAUUUUGUGGAUCUAGCUCAAUUAUCUCUAUUGAAAGCAUUAGUCCAGUAGUUGUCAUUAAAUUAUCAAAACCAAACUAGGGCUUUCACCCAGUCAGGACAACUUUACUCUCUAGUGACCCACGCUGGAGAGUUCUAAUGAGUAUCAAAAUACUCCACCAAGCGCAUAUCUCAAACCUUUUUCAAAUGCGCUAAUUUUAAAUGGAUUCCCAUGCACCUUUAGCAAUGAUUUAGUAUUUUCAAAAUAUUUUGUAACGGUUUGCACUUGCUUCCUCACCGCGGCACUCGACCUAACACAUGUGCAUUGUUAGACCUCACCUAGUGGCACUUAGACAACUGUGUUAUCCAAAAAAUUAGACUUUUAUAGUAUGACUAUCUAUUCUAAACACAACCAUUCAAUUCGCUACAUACCGUUGUCGGCCUUUGCCUUUGGGCUUCCACUCAUUUGUCUCAUCCAUCCAUCAUCUCAUCUCUUCAACAUCACCAUGUUCAGCACUUGUGUCUUAUUGUCGUCAAUGCUUCAUGCAUAAGCAUUAGUCCACUCAGUUACCAAAAUUAAACUAAAGCCUUCACUUGGAUAUUUAUAAGAAUUGUUUCUUAUGUCAAUUGUGUGUAAAAAAAGUAGGCGUCCUAAAAAAAUUGUUUGUGUAGCAGUGAUAUUUCUAUCUGCUAUUUGUAGCGCAAAUACUAUUUAUUAUUUUUUUUGCCUCAGUUAUUGUUCACAACAGGCUUGCUAAAUAUGAAUAUGGCCCCAAAAAAAGUAGAGGAAGCACGAGUUGCAAUAAUAUAUUGCACACGCGGCAUUGGCUGAGCGUUGCUAGGGCGCACGAAGCUUCCACGUGGCGUGUUGUGGUAGCUCGAGCCAGCAGCACUCUCACAAAAAUCUUUGGCCGAAAACUAAAGAGGCAAAUAAGUAACAGAGUAGUGCUCAGAAUAGUACACUUCCUUUGUUUUUUUUUAAAAAAUAGUACACUUAGGACAACUUUAUAGGGCGAAUGUAACGGUGAUGUGAACUCCACUAAUUUUGACCAAGCCACACAAAGCUUGUCACCGCCACGCAACACACACACUUGCUGGCCACCGCCGGCCCUUCCGUCCUCAAUCUAUAAAUACAUGGCUCCGUUGCUCACAUUCUCAUUGCAUCCAAGCUCAUAGUUCCUUCACCAGCUCAUACAUAACCUCCCAUCUCUCAGAAACAGCCAACACGCUCCCUUGUAGCCUCUACCAACUAGCCUAAAUAAUAUUGAUCACUUCAUAUUAACUUGUGAUCUUAAAAUUAUUACCCAUAUGGCUACCUCACACGCAGCCAUUGUUGUGAUCCUCUCCUUGCUUCUGUUGGCAUCAGCACAGUCGUCUCUCGUGCACGCAAGGAUGAUGCCAAGUGAUGUCUAUGCCGAGGACAGCAGUGGUAGCAGCACUGGUAGUGCUUCUUCAUCGUCGAUCUCCCAAGAUAUGCACCGAGUGUUCAUGGCUUCGUCAAGAACUCCUGAGGCCGAGAUCGCCACCGCUGAUCGUAGGUGGACCAUCCAGGUCGUGGAGGGAUCGGUUCCGAGCCCCGGCAUCGGACACCACGGUUAAUUAGCUCGCCUUCUACCAUAUUAUAUACAUAAAUUAAAUGACAUGCAUGCGAGCUGCUAGCUAGCUAGCUCUACACAUGUAUAUGAUGUAUACUUAUAGGAGAUCGAGUUAAUAAUUUCCUCUGUUGCUAGUACGUGAUUUGUAUGGACGACCUUACUACGAGAUGAAUAAAUGAAUAUAUAUGUAUGCAAUCCGCAGCUAGCUACUUAGUUUUUUUCUUCGGUUUCCAGUCUCGGUUUGUGUUGUUCUGUUGGUGCUGUUGGUAACCAUGUGUGUUACCUGCUGUUUAGACUCUCUCUACUUAAUGAAAAAUACGCCCUGGCGUGGUCUCAAAAAAAUAUAUGUAUGCAAUCCUUUGAGUCUGUAUAUUUAGAGUUAAGGGACGAAGCAAAGUCCCUUCGUUGUAAUGGGUUCGAUAUUGAUGUCGUUGGCAAAUAUUCAC
rnacentral:lncRNA from 1 species